rnacentral:lncRNA from 1 species
UGAAAACAAACCUGUCUUGACACGUCAUCAGCUGCCCCUUAAUGUUUCGUCGACCAAUCACCAACCUGCAAGCUAUUGUGUAGAUAAAAAAACGAUGAACCCGCCCUAUCUCUUGUUGCAGGCCAAAUUUUUCCCAUGAGAGACGGCAAGCUAAUCCUCAGGCACUUUGAAUCAAAUCUGAAAAAUGGGCUAUCUUGUUUUGAGAUUAUUCAGAUUCCAUCCACCAGAUGACGAAGAAAUCAUCAAUCGUCUUCUGAGCAAGAAGAGACUUGAUCGUGAUUUCUGUGUCCAACCAAGGAAGAAGCAUACAGCUAAAUGUGUCGUGUACGGAUUUCAUUCUACGUACAGCCUUUUUCAUAAGGUGACUGCUUUGUUUAUUUAUUUCUUAUUUAUUUUCUUGAUUUUGGUUCUCGCUAUAAAAAAUUUCAAUAAAAAGUCUGUCUUUGCUGGAAAAAAAAAUUGAUUUUUAACAUUCUAAAUUUUGAGCUCGUACUGUUUACAAUUUGUGUAAAAGGAAUUUAUUAUUUGCCUCUUAGAAAGAAAAUGAAAAAAUUAAGAAGCCUAAAACUUUCAACAUGUGAUGAUGGUCAAUCGAGUCACCAAUUAUGUCUAAUUUUAGAAAUCAUGUUGAAGUAAAGAGAGUUUUUCCAGGAGUGACAAAGCGCACGCCUAGAGACAGUUUCAAUAUCAAGUUAUCCAUUUUUGCUGGAUGAGACUCUUAUAUGAGAUUAUAUCUUCUUUUCCAUUUUAGGUUGAAGGUCAACAACUACCUAGUCUUGAUUCUGACAAUCAUGUUGCAGAAAAUAUUAGACAAGAGGUGAGGAGGAGCACAACUUAGCUUUCAAUUUCAAUUCUUAAUUUAUGUAUAGGGAACAUAAUCCAAUCCAAAACUAAUGCUUCUUGUUUCUGGUUUUAGGUAGAAUAUGAACAAGUAACAGAUCAUAUUAUGACUUAUAACGUAGAAAUCAUGUUGCAGAAAGCGUAUGUUCCAGUUCAUGGGUAAGAAAGAACAUGUGUUGUUGACAGUUUUUUAUAUCAAUUAAUUAUUAUAGUGCAGAAGGAAUAUAUUCAGAACUAAUGCUAUUUAUGGUUCUUAUUUUAGGAAGAAUUGCAACUACUACCAAGUAACCAUUUGGUUUCUGGUUCUAGAAAUCAUGUUGCAGAAAAAAUUGAAAAAAAAAUAUUUCCAGAGGUGAGGCAAAAACUUGAAUUUAGGUUUUUUUCAAAAUCAACUUACAUAUGUAUGAGAAAUGGUAUCCAGAAUUUAUAAUGCCUUGUUCAUGGCCUUUAUUUCAGGUAGAAUAUCAAUUACUUCAGGUAAAAUAUCAAUUACCAAGUCAGAGAAAGAUCACAAUUAAGAAAUAUCAACCUACCAAUGUAGUGCAUAGGUAACUAUUUUUGGGACUAAUGAUACGUUGUCAUUGGCUCUAAUUUCAGGGAGAACCUCAACUGUUACCAAGUCACCAUUUCACCUUGCACUAUAGAAAUCAUGUUGCAGAAAAUACUUUUCCAAUGGUGAGAAAAAGCAAGCACAAUAUCAUUAAUGAACUAGAAAUACAUACAUACAAAACUAAUGCUUAUUUGUUCAUGGCUAAUUCAGGUAGAAUCUCUACAGUUGCAAGUCACAUUUGAUUUCUUAAUUUUUAUUUUAGAGAUCAAGUUGCAGAGCAAACUUUUCUAGGGGUAAGAAAGAUUGCUAUAUAAACAAUUUCAAAUGCUAAUUUAUAUGUUUUGUGCGUAACAAUUAUAGAACCUGCAUUUCUCCCUAAGUUCUUCUAAGGAGGAAACUUUUCUGUUUGCUUAAUUUGAUAUAAUGAAUCCCAACUGCAGUCACUAGAGCAUAUAUCAUCCUCAUGAUAUUCUGCUGGGUUGAGCAAUGACUGAUGUCUUGAAUUUUCAAUUUAGCGGCCGCGGGUAGCAGGAAGAUGGAAAUUCACAAUGGGGGCUGCCAUGGCAAAUAACCUCUUGAAGAAACUGAACUUGCUCAUCCUCGUCACUCCAGUCUCCGCUAGCUAAUGGAGAAUAUUAUUGUUGAUACUGUGGUAAUGCUUCAUGCAUGCAGGAUGUAUUCCCAGCUCUUACAUAUAUAUAAGAAAAUAGUUACUUCUAUAUGUGAUUGUGUUGCCUAGUUCAUGAGAGUAGGUGAUCGUUUAAUGGAAUAUACUGCUACAUUGCUAUAUUUGAUCAAUUUACCACAUACAUAUGUUCCUUAGAUCAAUUGACUUGAGCUAAGCUAUGAAAAGUUUGCCAUUUGCACAAUAAUCGCUAACAAAUCCAAUAUCAAACUACUGGCCUGCAAGGAAAGAAGUGCCUGUGGGUAAAUGAUAAAUGAACUACUUGAGAAUAUUAAUUAAGUACACAUUUAACAACAAUCAAAUCCUCUUAGGAGGAAAUCAUGUUAAUUUACUGUAGUUGAUAAUUUGAUAUGGUGAUAAUGCUUCAAUCAUUCUUAUUACCACACAGAAGGCUGUAAGUAGCAGUUGUAAAUAACUAUAUGGUGAAAAUGCUUCAAUCAUUCUUAAUACCACACAGAAGGCUGUAAGUAGCAUAUGUGAAUAACCAUGAAAUCCUCUACAAGGAAAGUAUUAUUAUUAUAGAUAAUGUCACACAUGGUCUGUAAUCUUUGAGACUAAUUACAUGCUAAUGGAACGGUUAUGUUGUUUACUACCUGGGUAGUCCAUUUGGUGUGUAUUUGAUAUCUUUGUGUGGCAUAUGGCCAAGUUUCUUAAACAUAUGGAAUAUUUGUUUAUGGUACUCAUACGAAUAGUUCAUAGGCCUAAUGCCAGACCAUCCAUGAUCCAUGGAUUGUAUAUGAAGGGAAAGUGGUUUCUUUGAUUGUGAGAUCAUGGCAAUUGCUUUCCUAUACCUCAGAUCAAAUUGUCUAGUGGUAAUCCCCAUAAAUCUCCUAUAUCAGAAUAACUUGCAAAGCUAAAUAUCAAUAAUAUCAGAUGAAGAUGCUCCUCAAAGACUUCAGUUAGAACGAAGAAAAUGGAGGAUGGCUGUUCCACUGACAACUAUAUAAAUUGUUAUAGGGAUGGAGGAGCAAGAAAUCUACUCUACUGGUGCAAUUUUAAAUAAUUAAUAAAUAUAAGAGCUAUAUUUUUAUUCAUAAUAUAUACUCGAGACGAUUAUAUCACCGAGUUCGGCUCUUAAAUUUUAAAGGGCUAAGGGACUUAAGCAGGUAGAUCACUAAGGGCUUCAGGGGGCAAUACUCAAAGCAUAAAAUAAAAUCUGAGACAUUUUUUUUUUCACUUAAGUGGGGCAGCUUGUUAUAUGCUAGGAGUGUUGAGAAUUAAUCCAGUCUGUUCAAUCCGCCAGAUCCAUAAAUAUUUAAUCUGUAAAAUUUCAAUUCAUAGAUUAAUGGAUUUAAUUGCAUUAAAAAUUUUAAAUUUACGGUCAAUGGAUUUGAUAUAGGUUUACAAAAGUAAAUUCGUAAAAAUCUUAAAUACGCAAUAUGUGUGUGUAUUUUUAAUAGAACUUGUAAAUGUGGCAUUAUUAAUAUAAAUAAGUUAAAAUGUAGUUACACUAAUAUUGCAUUAUAUUUUAUCUAUUGAUAAUAUAAUAUAAAAAAUAAUUAAGUAAACAAAUACAACUACCUGAGAAGUAUUAUUGGAGUUAUGUUAUUUAUUUCAAUUAUUUCUAUCCUUUUUUCACGUUAAAAAAUACGAAUUGUAGGUGGACAUUUUGAUAGACUAUCCAAACUUUCAAGUUUCAACUUUUGUAUUGAUUUUAUUCCAUAAUUUUAGUUAGUUUUCAUGCAUUGAUCCAAACAAAUCAGAUUUUGUCUCUUUGGUGUGUUAUUUAAAAUAUUAAUUAAUUUAUUUUAAAUUUAAUUAGUGAUAAAGUUAUUUUACAUAGAUUUUUUAUUUAAUUAUUUGUGGAUUGGAUAAAAUAAUUUUUUUUUAUUAAAAUCAAUAUACAAGAUGGUGGAUUGGACACAAAUUGUAUCAAAUUUGCUUUCAAUCCAUGAACGUACGAAUUGAAUUUGGAUUAAUUUCACUAAUUCGUGAAUUAGAUUGGAUUAAAUAUUUGUAAUCAAUAAAAUCUUAGAUCAGAUAUAGAUUGGUCCGCGAACACCCUUACCAUAUAUGGCCUUCAUCCCUAAUUUGUUAAGACUUAAUUUUAAUAUUAUUUUUAGACCUUAAUUACUUUUCAGUUUAUGCUUUUAGAAUUUUUGUUGCUAGCAAAAGAAGAUAUAAUCUCAAUAUUGUUAUUGAUAGUGUAAUAUUGGUUCAACUUUCCCUUGUUGAACCAUACAAUUUGGAAAAAAUAAUACUCGAUAAAUUGAUAAUUUCAAUUAAAUAAGUUAUUCUUGACUGUUUGAACUUGGGGCCAACAUGUUAAAUUAGUAAUUUAUAAGAUAGUAAAUUAUAAAAAAUAAAAAAUAAAAUUGAUAGGGCCUACUUACUAUAUAAAUUAAUAAUUAACUAAUUUAAAACUUAAUCUAUAUGAGGUGUCUAUGUGGCUUCUUAAAAAAUAUUCCAAGUAUUGCUUACUUCACCAUGAAAUUAGUUUUCAACUUUAAUCUAAUCUUUAAUUUUUUAUAAUGUGGAAAGAAAUUUUGGUUGACAUUGUCUUUUGUAAUAAAAAAUUAUAUGAUGUCAUUAUCACUUUGGGUGCUUCUUUUUUGUUAGUAAGCUUUGUGGUAGAACCACCAUUUUUUAUUUACGAAACUAAAAUUUCUAUAAAGAUGUUAUUCCUAUAUAUUUUAGUCAAUCAUUUAAUAAUUAAAUAAAACAUAGUAAAUAAACACAAAAAUUUCAAAUCAAGGUAAAUCUAUAAACACAAGCAUGCAGAGGAUAUGGCCAAGUUGUUUCAAACAGUUUUAUUUAAUUGGCCAUCUUGUUCGAAACUUGCGAUUAAUUUAGGCUCUGCUCGCCUUAUACAAAAGCAGCUCUAAAUAUAGGCAAACAAGGCAAUCACCUGAUAAAAGUGGAAAAAAUAUUCACCCAGUCUAGACCCAGACUCAGACUGGACACAAGGAAUGCUAGGUACCCACCCCAAGGAUGAACUCGAAUCGGUCUCCUACAUUACUUGAUAAGCUCGGGAUCUAGCCUGGAACAUAAAUGUUUUUAAAAAAAAUUAUAAAAUAUAUAUUAUUUUAAAUAAUUAUAUUUAUUUGACUAAUCUAUUAUAGAUGUGUAAAGCUUUAAACAUUUAAAAUUCAUAUUUUUCAUGUCCAAUUUCAUUGAAAUAAAUUUAAAAAUUAUAAAAUUAUAAAAAAGUAUACAUAUAUAAUAUUAAGAAAUAUAAUCCGGCUAUAAAAACAAGGAUUAAACAACUUAGCCUGAGUGUCUAAAAAAUACAUAUGCGCUGGGUUCGGGCAUUACCAUACCUAGACCCAGACCCGGAAUUUGCCAACCCUAUCACCUAGGGCCCCAUAUUUUAGAAAGACUCCAUUUUUUUAUUAUGUCCCUUAUAAUAUUUUAAUUAAUAAAGAUUUUUUUAAGUUGCAUAUUGUAGGAAAGCCUAUUUUAGAUAUUUCUCUAAUUAAUAAUUAUCCUACAAUUAAGAAUUUUUUGGUAGAAAAUCUAUAUUUGAUAAUUUUAAUGUUAAAGAGAUAUAAAUAAUAAUAUUGUCUAACCAUUAAUUCAUUAAUAAUUAUUCUUUAAAAAAAUUAAAUUCCCAAAAUUAUCAGUUUCUUAAGAAUUAAUCUUUAACUUUUAAUUUUCCUUUAAAUUUCUAUUAAAAUCUUAAAAUCUCAAAAUUCAAUAAAUGAAAAAUUUUCUUACAUUAUUCGCCAACAAAAAAAAAUUAUAUUCACAAUCUCGCUUGAAAAAAAAAAUGGUUUCUUAAAAUACAAAGUCUAUAGCCAUCAUUUGAUCAUCAGUUAAUCAUCUCAACUUUUUAAGUGCUACUAUUAUUAUUUACCUAGAAUUAGUAUUAUUUUUAUUUAUUUAUUUUUAUAAUGAUAAUUUCUUUUGAGCUAUUUAAGUGCUAUCAUGAUAAAUAAUAUACGUGAAAUUAGUAUUAUUAUUUUUAUUUAUUCUAUAAUGAUAAUUAAUUUUGAGCUAUUUAUGUAUUUUAAGCCAAUGUUGAAAUUGUUGAAUGAAUUUAGGCAUCAUAAUAAAAAUUCAACGAAAGACUAAAUGUUCCAAUGUGAACUUCGGGCAUGUGUGUGUGUAGUAGUAGUAACUUUUUAGUCUGAAAUUUUAAAGUAAAAUGUACAUAUGUAUGUAUAUAUAUAUAUAUUAAUUAUGUAUGUAUGUAUGUAUGUAUGUACGUCCGUAUGUAUGUAUUGGAGCUUGUCUGACGGAAAUACAUAGAAAAUCAAGAAAAUGCCUGUUCCGAAAGAGUACAAGGAGAGAUGUAACCGGUUCAUGCACAUCCACCAAUUACUGAACAAUAUGAGGUCAUCAGGAAUCUGUGUGUAGGACCGUCGGAGUCAACUCAAGUGUAUUCAAAAGUCUUGCUUUUGCUUUUUAUUUUUAUUUUUAAUGAGCCAUCCAAUCCGAGUAAAUUCCUUCUUGGAAGAGGGGGACAUGUUGAAUAUUUUGCAGAAUAACUAAUGAUUCUAAAAAAUUUUCAAAAUUUUGCUUUAAAAAAAUACCGGUGAAAAUCUUCUAUAAAUUGACAAGACAUAAAACCAAAGAAGUUGAAGAUUCUAGAUUUCCUGUAGCAGGAUUGUGGGGGAGAAGGAAGGUGACUCGGAAGUGUAAAACAGAAAAAGCAGCAAAGGAAUCAUAUGGUGGCCAGGUGGUGCCUUAAACUUUCUUGGGUAACAAGUAACGCGUCCUUCUUACUUUUGUUUUAAAAGGUAGGGAAUAAAAAAAUUAUCCAUGAUAAGGAUGAUGGUUCGAUCUAAAAAUUCAUCACUCACAAAUUAAAGUUCGGAACGAAUUUAUGAGUUCGUAAAUUAAUUUUUACAAUAUUAUUUAUUGAUUUACGAUAUUAUAAAUCUGUCCUGAAUUUUAAGUCUGAAUAUAACAAAUAGUCUAUUCUAUCAUCAAACAAAAUUCCAAAUGCAUUUUUGAAUUCCCUUAUACAUUGUCUUUUUUUUUUUUAAAUACCAAAAAAAAAAAACUAAGCAGUGCCACCAAAAUUUUCAUGAAAAUUUAUCCUAAUUGCUUUCAAAGAUGUAAAAUCAUGGAUGAUGAUAACUCAUUUUUGUUAACCAAUCCUGUAAAACACUUUCUAAUAUUUUGAUUGUUAUCCCAACCAAACACGUGAAGUAAUUAACGACAACUCAAUCAACAUUAGUUUAAUUGCUAGGGUCGUUUUAUAAAGUCAUAAUUAAAAGCAUGGCAUCAAUACCAUAUCUAAAUAUGAAUUAUGUAAAUAGAACAUAAGACAUGUAAACUUAAUAUAAAAUUUGUGAAUCAAUAUUAAAUAUAAAAUAAAAAUUACGUAAAUGACGCAUAAGAAUUGCAAAUAAAAAGUAAAAUAAGUAAAUUAUCAUGGAAGUGGUAAAUUGAUGUAUCAAUGGUAAACAAAAUAAAUAUUUAUACAUAUAACAUAAAACUUGUAAAUCAACAAUAACUGUCAAAUAAAACAUAAAUUAAGUAAAUAAAACAUAAGACUUCUAAAUGGGAGAUAAAACGAGUAAAUUAGUGUAGGAAUGAUAAAUUGGCAAAUUGAUGUAUCAAUGGUAAACAAAAUAAAUUUUAUACAUAUAACAUAAAACUUGUAAAUCAACGAUAAGUGUCAAAUAAAACAUAAAUUAAGGAAAUAAAACAUAAGACUUUUAAAUGAGAGGUAAAACAAGUAAAUUAACAAAGAAAUGGUAAAUUGGCAUAUUAUUAGUAAACAAAACAAAAACUUAUAAAUAUCACAUAAAACUUAUAAAUUAACAUUAAUGUAAAAUAAAACAUAAAUUAUGUAAAGAAAAAAUAAUAUUUGAAAAUCAAGGGUAAAAUAAAUAAAUUAACAUAAGAGUAGUAAAUUAGUAUAUUAUUGGUAAACAAAAGAAAACUUAAUAAAUCAACAUUAAAUGUAAAAUAAAACACAAUUAUGUAAUUGGAACAUAAGAAUUCUAAAUGAAAGGUAAAAGAAGUAAAUUAACAUAAGAGUAGUAAAAUAAUAUAUUAUUUGUAAACUAAACAAAAACUUACAAAUAUAGCAUAAAACUUGUAAUCAAAUUAAGUAUAAAAUAUAACAUAAAUUAUGUAAAUUGAACAUAAGACUUAUAAAUGAAGGUAAAAUAAGUAAAUUAGCACAAGAAUGGUAAAUUGGUGUAUUAUUGGCAAAUAAAACAAAAGCUUAUAAGCAUAAUAUAAAAACUUGUAAAUCAACAAUAAGUGUAAAAUAAAAUAUCAAUUAAGUAAAUGAAACAUAAGACUUAUAAAUAGAAGGUAAAACAAGUAUAAUAUUAUAGGAGAGGUGAAUUAGAGUAUUAUUGGUAAACAAAAUAAAAAUUUACUAACAUAAUAUAACUUGUAAAUCAUCGUUAAGUGUGAAAUAAAAUAUAAAAUAUGUAAACAAAAUAUAAAACUUGUAAAUAAAAGAUAAAAUAAGUAAAUUAAUAUAAGAAUUAUUUAAAAAGAUGAAAACUUAUAAAUGUAAAAUAAAAACUCAUUAUAAUAAUUAUUACCUUGUAAAUUUUCUUAUUUUGUUUCUAAAUUGAUUAAUGAUAGUUUUGGGUGUAUGUAAUAGAUGUGAAAUUUGAAAAACUAUUUUUUCAUAUUUUCAAAGUUAUUCAUAAGAUAAGGUACUUCACAUCCUUUUAAAUCUUCUCGUCAACAAACCCAAAUGAUUUUUAUGUCUAAAUGAAAAGCAAGACUUAAAAUUACGGGAAAUACGUAUAGAACAUAAAAUUAUAUGCAAUUUUAUUGAUAUAUUAUAUACAUUUAGUAAUAUAAGAAUAACUUUUAAUUUUGUUUCAACUUGAUCCACAUAAAGAGAAAUAAUUUUACUUAAUUAACCUGUGUAGUAAACAACACUAUGAUAGAGAAAAAAGACGAAUGUCUAGAAUGAAAACAAAAUUUAUAGGUAAACAAAUUCAAUAAAACUUAUUCCAAUUCUUUUGGGCAUAAUGUGCCAUGUUUUAUAUUAUUUGUAGAAGUGUUUAUUUUGUUUGUAAAACACUAAUUUACUGCUCUUAUAGUAAUUUACUUGUUUUACCUUCAAUUUACUAAUCUUAUAUAUAAUUUACAAAAUUUAUGUUUAUACCAUAAUUUUAAUCACACCAUUAUAGAAUUUUCUUAAUUUUUCAUAUCAUGAGGACUUAAGUUAGGCAAUUUUGAAACUUUUGGUUUUAGAAUUCUUUUUACCAAAAAACAAAGACCCUAAAAAAUAUAAGGAUAAUGAUAUUUUCACCUCAUAAGUUUUGAAAAUAGGUGUAGGUAUUUUCAUCCCACUAUUUUUAUAAAUCCACCUCACCUCCAUAAAAUAAUUACAAUAAGUUCACAUUAUUUUAUAAAAUUAUAAAUUAAUUAUAAGUUUGAAAUUAAUUAAAUCAAUCUUAUAAUAUUCUUUUUCUUUUCUGACUUAAUCUUUUAACAAUUUUUAGCUAUUUAAGGUUGCUUUAACAUAAGUUCAAUUUGAUUAUUUUAUCCUUAUAGUAUGAAAUGACCAAAUUACUCUAAGAAAUAUAUAUACUAUUGAAACUAAUCUUUUAGGCAUUUAGUUUUAUGGUUUAUAAUCUAAUAUGUUUAAUAUAAAAUUUAAUAAUUUUCAAUACACCACAUGUACUACUUAUAUCUUGUUAAUUUAGAGGAAUAUUAGUAAUCAUGCUAAAAUUUUACUACUUAUACAUCAUUAAAAUAUAAAAAAAAAUUGUAUAAAAAUUAUUAAAGUUAAAGUAAAAUUUUAGAUAUUUUGGUACUUUUACAUUGUGAGUGUAAAAUAGUCAUAUCAAUUUGUGUUAAAGCAACCUUGCUGAUCAAAUAUAAUAAAGAAACAUAGUCUCCAAAAAAAAAAAUGAAUAUGAAUCUAAUCGAUUAAUUUUUUGAAAUUUCUUCUUAAUUUAAAUUUUUAAAAAAUAAUGUGAAUUUAUUAUAAUAAUUUUCUAAAAGUGGGUGAAUUUUGGGUUGGGAAUAUCAUCAUCCUUUGUAAACCCACUCCAUUUCUAAGAAAUAAUUACAAUAAGUUCACAUUAUUUUUUUAAAAAUUCAACUAAAGAAAAAGUUUAAAAAUUUAAUCAAAUAAAAUUAAAUACCUAAACUAUUAGAUAUAAGAGCUCAUGUUUUUUUUGGAACAAUUUGGUCAUUUUAUAUUAUAAAGUUAAAAUAGGUAAACAAAACUUAUCUUAAAGCAAACAUAAUAAUCAAAGAUACAUAUUUAAAAAAAUUAUAAGAAGGAUCUAAUUGAUUAAUUGUUUAAACUUUUUGUUAGUUUGUAUAUUCUAAAAAUAAUAUAAACUUGUUAUAAUUAUUUUUUGAAAUUGAGAUGAAUUUAUAAAAAUUAUAAGAUGAAAAUAUCCCCACCCAAAAUAUAAUAACAAUUCUUCAAUUUUUUAUUUUUUCUUUUGUUUUCGAUUUUUUUUUUAUUCUUUUAGUUCUUCUUUGAUUUAAUCCCAUAUGACCUACUUACUAUACUUGUGCCUUGUUGUACUGUUGAAUAACUAUGGUCCUUUUAAAUGCAAUUUAUUAUUAUUCUUCUGCAUUAUACAGAGAAGAACAAACUCGUCACUGGUUGACGGACCGUCAAACACGAUCCACAAAUUCUGUACACUCUCACUAUUGCCACUUAACGCCGUUGGGAAACAUCACUACAGCACUAUGCGUAGAAAUCAAGCCAGGCCACGGAGGUAGAAUGACGUGUUAAUGAUGACGUGGUAAUGCUUUCUGUUAAUUUAAGGGUGGCAAAGAAGAGUGAUGAUACAGUUAUAAAUAUUUGUAUAAAUUUAUCUUAUAUAAAUUGAUAUGGAAAUAAAUUAUUAGUUGAAUAAAAAUAUAAAAUAAUAGAAAUAAAUUAUGUGGGCUAAUAAAUAUUUAAUUCAAUCAAUGAAUUAAUAUCACAUCAGUUUAUACAAAAUAAAUUUGUAUAAAAAUUUAUUCCUAUAUCAUUACUCGGCAAAGUAUAAUUGAAUUAAAUCAUAAUCAAAUUAGAUUAAAGUUUCAUGUAUAGAAAUUCCAUUUAUUUAUUAAAUGAAAUAUUAAGAUUUGAUUAAUUUAUCAAACAAAUAUUUAUUAAUUUAUUUGCUGUAUAAAAUUAAAUGAAUUGAAUUUGAAUUCGUUUAAUGACAAUUCAAUCGAAAGUUAGAUGCAUUUAUAAUUUGUUUCUAAAAAUAAUAAUUAAUAAACAAAAUUAAGUUCUAAAAAUAAUAAUUAAUAAAAAAAAUUAAGUAAAAUAUUAUAAAAAAUAACAUACUAUCAAUUACAAACGAAUCCUAAAGGAAUAAAUAAAAUAGUAAUUUCAUAGUUAGUUUAAAUUUAUUUAUUUAACAAAUUAAAUAGAAUUCACUUAUUCAUUAAAUGAAUUAAAUUUUUAAAAUUUAAAUUUAAUUAAUUUAAAUCAAAUUGAAUAAAUGAAUUCUUAAUUAAAUUAUCACAAAUUUAUGUUACAAUUAUAUAUAUUAAUAAUUUUUUUAUCUGAAAUCCUAAAAUAUGAGAAAAGUCCAAGAAAAUUUUUAAAAUUGUAGAAUUUAUAAACUUAAAGGGAUUAAAAUUUAUUCCACAUUUCAUAUAUAUAUAUCAACCUUUCAUGUCUGCUAUCCUACUGUCACUCGUCUAAAUCUCAUUUUCAAACAGUAUUACUACACGCUGAUUGUUCGCAGACGAAAUUGAUACAGAUAUAGUUCUUAAACUCUGUUUCUUGUGUGUGUGAAUCAGAAAUGGGCAGUCUCACGGGCAUCGGAUUCCGGCCGUUGGAUGAAGAAAUCAUUGAUCUCCUGAAGAAGAAGAGGCUUGACCCUGGUUCCUCUGUCCAAACGAUCAAGGAAAUUGAUUUUUACAGCUUUGACCCUUGGGAGCUACCCGGUAAGUAUCACGCCCAACAAGCACUAAACGAUGUUAUUGGAAUUAGUUCAGUAGCUAAAAUUCAGAACUAAUAUAUUGGGUUAAUGAAUUUUUGUCAUGCAGGGCUUUCUGAGAUUCAGUCUACGGAAGAUGUGUGGUACUUUUUCUGUAAGCCUAAGUACAAAGGUGCCAAGCGGAAACGGUCAGGGCAACAGCGACAUAGAAAAACGAAGUCAGGAACGUGGAAAAUGACUGGCGGUGGUUCUGAGAUGAAGCGGAAAAACAGUACUGAGGUGAUUGGUGACAAAGACUAUCUUGUUUUUAUCCACGACGAUGCUGCGUCCGAGAAAGCUAACACUAAGUGGCUUAUGCACGAGAUAGCUAUUGCGGAUGACCCUCUUUAUAAGGUACGAGCUUUGUUUAGAAUGAAUUGGGCAUGUUUUGCAAAUACUAGAAACGUUCCAAUUUAGGAUCUUGGAUUUGUUAAAGUUCGGAAAAAUAGUUUAGUGACAUGUUUUGGACAUGUUUUAGACAUGUUUUGCCAUAUAGUUUAAUAGUGUAACGGCUGGAAACACUAUUAAGCUAUGUGGUUUAAUAGUUUAGUGGAAACAUCAUUCAGAAUACAAUAGACAAUAAUGUGAACUUAUUCUAUUUCCACUUUUUAUUCGUGUAGGAAAACUUUGUUGUGUGUCGCCUAGAAGGAAGAAAUUGGGAUAAAAAGCUUGGUGUUUCAACUACGGAUAAACAUCAAUCAAGUCAAGAUUUUGCUUCUAGUUCUAGCAUCAAUGUUGUAGAAGAUAUUUCUCUAGAAUCUGCUCAACCACCAGAUCGAUAUUUGGUUUCUAAAACAAAUCAAGUUGUAGAAAAUAUAUUCUUGAAGACUCAGCUACCACCGAGUGAGAAUUUGUUUUCUUGUAAUGAAGACUCAGCUACUACUAGUUUGGAUUCGGGAUUAUCACCACGUGUCUGUUUAAUUCCUUAUUCUGGAAAUCAUGUUGCAGAAAAUACUUCUACAGGAUUGCAGCUAGUACCACAUGACGUUUUGGAGUCACUGAGACUACCAGAUGAGAAAUGGGCUACUUAUUCUGUUGAUGUUGUAGAAAAUUCUUUCGAGGCAGAACCUCGAAUUCCUGUAGAAUUCAAUACACAUGGUGGCUUUAAUGGGCUGAAUAAUGACUCUUUCCUGGCAUUGCAGUCACCAACUUAUCUGGAGCAGGAAUCGUCGUAUUCUAAUGGUCCUAGUUUUGGUUGUGAUUUAUUGAAUUAUCAAAUUGACAGUGGACAGGUAGUUACUUUCUCUGAGUCGCAGCAACUACCAAACCACUUGAUUUCUUGUUUUGGAAAUCAUGUUGCAGAAAAUACUUAUACUGGAUUGCAGCUAGUACCACAUAACGUUUUGGAGUCAUUGAGACUACCAGAUGAGCAAUGGGCUACUUAUUCUGUUGAUGUUGUAGAAAAUUCUUUCGAGGUAGAACCUCGAAUUCCUGCAGAAUUCAAUACACAUGGUGGCUUUAAUGGACUGAAUAAUGACUCUUUCCUGGCAUUGCAGUCACCAACUUAUCUGGAACAGGAAUCGUCAUAUUCUAAUGGUCCUAGUUUUGGUUGUGAUUUAUUGAAUUCUCAAAUUGACAGUGGACAGGUAAUUGCUUUCUCUGAGUCGCAGCAGCUACCAAACCACUUGAUUUCUUGUUUUCGAAAUCAUGUUGCAGAAAAUACUUAUACAGGAUUGCAGCUAGUACCACACGACGUUUUGGAGUCACUGAGACUACCAGAUGAGCAAUGGGCUACUUAUUCUGUUGAUGUUGUAGAAAAUUCUUUCGAGGCAGAACCUCGAAUUCCUGCAGAAUUCAAUACACAUGGUGGCUUUAAUGGACUGAAUAAUGACUCUUUCCUGGCAUUGCAGUCAUCAACUUAUCUGGAACAGGAAUUGUCAUAUUCUAAUGGUCCUAGUUUUGGUUGUGAUUUAUUGAAUUCUCAAAUUGACAGUGGACGGGUAAUUGCUUUCUCUGAGUCGCAGCAACUACCAAACCACUUGAUUUCUUGUUCUGGAAAUUAUGUUGCAGAAAAUUCUUCUACAGGAUUGCAGCAAGUACCACAUGGCAUUUUGGAGUCACAGAUAUUACCAAAUCAGUAUUGGGCUGCUUAUUCAACUAAUGCUAUUGGAAAUUCUUUCGAGGCAGAACCUCAACUAGUUGCAGAGGUCAAUACACAAGGUGGCUAUAAUGGGUUGAAUAAUGCUUCUUUGUCGGCACUGCAGUCACCAAUUUACCCUGAAGAGGAAUGAUCGCAUUCUAAUUGUCCUAGUUAUGGCUGUGAUUUUUUGAAUUCUCAAUUUGACGGUGAGCAGGUAGAUGAGCUGAUCAAAUGACGAAGGGCUUUUCAGAAUGAACACUCUCGUGAAGAAACUGGACAAACCACUCCUGACUUCAAUUCAUCAAAGUUGGAUGGAGGAGCUUACGAGGUAGAUAGCAGUGACAUAGACACUGAAACCGUCAAUGCAUGAUACUCUUUGGUUCUGUUAGUAACUAUCAAAUCCUCUAGGUGGAUAUUAUAUUACUUUAAUAGUUUCGUAAUAAUGUUUCACUCUUGGUUUGUUGUACUCCAAACUUUGCAACCAUGGUUACAUACUUUGUAAGUCGAUUAUUUAGAGCACUUGGAUGUUCAAGUUGCUCUCUCUAUGUGCAACAGUAUGGCCAAGCUGUGGAAAAGUUCAGCUUGUUAAAUGGGAAUGCUUAUUCAAAACAAUAGAGGUGAGUGAUGCAUGACAGGCCUUAUGGAAGAUCAUCCACUGAUGAUUUUUGCGGCUAGCAAGAGGAGAUGCUAAGCAUACUAUUGUCUGAAGGAGAGCCCCAAUGCUGAGUUUGCCUUAGACCAGAAAAGUGCUCUGGAACUUCCAUUGUCAUUAUGUAUUUGUAAGUUUUGUGUUUGGUGUAUUUCUUUAAUGAUUGUAUCUAGCUGGAAAAUUGAUGUUAUCAUCAUGUCAUGAUACAGAAGGAUUGUUGAAAAUAUAAAGCAUAUGUCAAUGGGUGGAGAUGAUCUGUAACCUGAUACAUGAGAUAAUGCAAAUUACCAAAAAUCUAAAAGCUUUUCAAUUUGAGUGUCAUGAUUGAUCAUCGUUUCAGUGCCUCGUAUGGAAGGCAUGCCAUUUUGUUGAUAGCCCUUUUGUUUGGUGAGUCUCCGAGUUUAAUUAAUUUCACCAGCUAGUUAGUUAAAAUUUUUUUUUUUUUUUUUUUUUUUUAAUUUUAUUCUCUCGAUAUCACUAGAUCUAAUAAUCUAAGUCCAGGCAUAAUAUGUUUUUCACUUAUUACUUGCAAACUAUAUAAAACAUAUUGGGAACAUAAGAUUAAACGUAUAGUCCUGCCCAUAAAGAAAUUUACUGAUUGAGAGAACAACUGAAAAAGAAAAGAAAAAGGGGAACACCAAGAUAAUUGCCUAGGUUAUCAGUCAUAGAGUUAACAAACACACUUAUAAGGGUGCCCUUGAUAAAGUCCAACAGCGCCUCACUGGGUGGAAUGCCCUUCAUCUUUUUCUUCUUUCUUUGGCUGGAAGAGUCACACUUGCGCAGUCAGUUAUUCAAUCCAUUCCGAUUUACACAAUGCAGACUACAAGACUUCCCUCCACACUUCAUAACCAAAUCGAUCAGUGUCGUCGUCGUUUUAUUUGGAGCGGAAAUGAUGAGAUGAAGAAGAUGAGUAUGGUUAAAUGGGACAAUGUGUGCAAGCCUAAGACUUGGGGAGGCUUGGGCCUUAAAAGAAUUGAUGCUAUGAACAAUGCUUUGCUUAUUAAAAUUGGUUGGAGUUUAAUCACCUCAUCAGACAGCCUGUGGGUCAAGGUUUUACGGUCGAAAUAUGGCAUUGAAGAUCCGGCAGUGCCACAAUCCUUGAACACCAAAUCUGGAUCCUAUAUGUGGAAAGCUAUUGGAAUUAUUUGGGAUAAAGUUUUGCAGGGGAUUAGAUGGAACCUUGGGGACGGCAGAAAAGUAAAAUUUUGGUGGGACUGUUGGGCUCUUAAGGACAAGCCUUUGAUUUUUUACGCUCAGCAACCCCUUCCGGAGGAGUUAAUCAAUAGCACGGUUUCGGAUUGUGUUAAUGGCGAUGGCGAUGGCUCUUGGAACUGGGGUAUUUUUGCUAAUUUGCUCCCAGAUAAUGUGAUCCUUAGAAUUGCACCUAUCAAACCCCCUUUAAAUAGUGGUGGCAAGGAUGAGAUUAGAUGGGCACAUUCUAAAACAGGGCUUUUCAAAGUCAAAUCAGCUUAUCUUUAUUUAAUUAAACAACAAUCCGCUCUUGAUGAUCCUGGUUGGAAGAUUAUUUGGAAGUGGCAAGGUCCACAAAGAAUUAAAAUGUUUUUGUGGCUUGCUGUCCAAAAUAAGCUAAAGACUAAAGCAGAACUUGCUAGACGCCACAUUCCAAUAAAUUCAAAUUGUGAUAUAUGUGGUCACCAUCUGGAAGAUACCCUUCAUGUGCUAAGGGACUGUUCGAUGGCAACUAGAAUUUGGAGAUCCUUAUUAUCCAAUGAGAAUACGGUCAGUUUCUUUUCUCUUAAUCUUCAUGAUUGGAUUCUCUGCAACCUUAGAAAUACUUGGAAUUUUAAGGUUAAUAAUGACUGGCCAUGUACUUUUGGUGUGAUGCUUUGGCAAUUAUGGAAUUGGUGAAAUAAGGUAAUAUUCUCUAAUUCUACAAGUUGUUGUCGAAGUCUGAUCCACGAUGUCUCUAUUCGAGUUGCGGAAAUACAACGAGUUUACUUGGCAAUCAAACCAGCUGGUGUUGCUCGAAUUGACAAGCAGAUUAGCUGGAGCCCCCCUGCACCACCUGCGUUUAAACUCAAAACGGAUGGAUCUUGUAAAAGCUCUGAACUGGCGGGAGCUGGGGGGUUGAUCAGAGACGCUCGGGGUCGGUGGUGUGGUGGUUUCUGUAUGAAUAUAGGGAUGUGUUCUAUCACUCUUGCUGAACUGUGGGGCUUAUAUCAAGGCUUACUUCUUGCUUGGAGAAAUGGGGUUAGAAAUCUAGAAGCGGAAGUUGAUAGCUUAUGUGUAACCCAGCUUGUCUCCAAUAAAAGGGUCGCUCCUAAUGAUUCUGGUCCAAUUUUACUAGCCAUUAAAGAAAUCCUGACUCGUGAUUGGAAUGUUAGCCGUCACCAUGUGUAUAGAGAGGCCAAUUACUCUGCUGACUUCCUUGCAAAUUUGGCUACCUCUCUCCCCUUGGGCCUUCAUGUGCAGGAUUUGCCCCCUGUUGGUUUAAAUUACUGGUUGCUUCAUGACAUGUAUAGGGGUUGCUAAGUGCUCCUCUUGUACCAAAAAAAAAAAAAAAAAAAAAAAAAAAAAGAAAGAAAAAAAUCCAUUUCUGAUACAAAAUUUCUGGUGAAAGAAACAAUCAUAAUUCAUCAAUGACACAGUCUGUGCAGUUAGUUCAUAAGCUGCAAAAUAAUACAAAAAUGUUAGCGAAGCGGCUCAUUGUGGUUUUGAAGCUUGAAUAAUUUUCACACAUGGAGAAGCAAAAUAAGAAAUGCUCAUCGAUUUUUAUAGUCAUAAAGACAAAUGUAAUACAUAGCAAUUCGCCUUAUAUCUGACACCUAAUGAAACAUAUGCCGCAAAAAACGCGAUUUUAAACUUAACAAUUCAUGAAAGCCAAUUCCCUUAAUUAAUCUCACAUUUCAAAGUUGUAACCAAGAUUUACUAGCCUGCAUCUGAUUUCACUUUUCAGUAACUUUCCAUUUUAUUCCUUUUUAACCUUAGCUACAUACUUUAUUUAUACUUUUUUUUUUCAUAUCAUCGGAAUCCUUGCCGCCAAAGCUAUGCAGCAAUAUGACUAUCGCCACCAAUAAGACUUUCUUUUUCCUUUAGUUUACAAUAAAAAAUUUAAAUUUUAAAACUUUUAGCUGUAAAUCCACAGUAAAAUUUUAAUAGUAUAAUAAUUGAAUUCAAAAGAUGUUGGAAUACCACGGCCGCCGGUGGUUAGGUUCACCGUGGCCAGCAACAAGAUAAUUUAUAUAAUUAAUUUAAUCUAACUAAAAAUAAAAAAAUGAAAUAUUAAUUAGUUUAAAUAAUACUAAUUUAGUAUAAACUGAUAAUAUAAAAUAUUAUUUACAUAAUAUAGUCUUUGUUACACUCCGUCACAGCAACACGCAAUUGAAUAUUAUGUAAUGCAAUGUGUCAAAAGCCCAGGGAAUUUAUGGUCAAUGGUAGUCAGCCAAUAAAACCCGCCAAAAAGAAAAAAAAAAAACUCGUUUAAAAAGCAACCACUUUUUGAAAAAGAAAAAUAAAGCACGCAUAAUCGUUACAGUACGUUUCCCCGGCCCCCCCCCCCCCCCCCCCCAAAAAAAAGUAAAAACAAUUCCUGGGAUCCAAACGGCGCCGUCCAAAGCCUCUUUAGCUAACUCUAAAAAGCGGGGGCUCUCUGCGGUUUGGUCAUUUACAAAAUCUUCAAGCGCAUAGCCGACGACGACGCCGUUUUGAACUCGGAGACCUCUGAUUGUACUGUUACACUCUUAGUUGCCAAUAGGUAACAUUUUCAGCCAUUUGUUUGUUUGAUUUACCGAUAACUGUAAAGUAAAAUUGAAUAAAAUUUUUAACGACCAUGGUAUUUUUUGUUCUUUUUAUUUUGUGAUCGCGAAUAUGCAGUAAAGCUAAUUAAUUACUGAAUUUAAGUUUACUUGUUAGAAAUGUUGACUUGUUUGGUUGCUGAGAAACUGUGGGCAGAGAAAUGAAAGCCUAAAAGAGUAGAGCGGUAGUUGAAUUCUAUUUAUGAUUGUAAUUUAUUUUACUUCGCAACAAACAAUGAAAUUUUAUCUGGGUUGUAGUUUUUGAUCUUAUUGUUAAGUCUUUUUUUUUUUUUUUUAAAUUAUAUGUAACAAUUUUGUAGGCUUGAAGAGCUUUAUGGAGGAACAGAUAUGUGGGCCUUAGCAUUCCUGAUCCUGAAACACGUUCGCUGCAGAAUAUUCAUAUAUUUCUUGUUAAAAAUGGGUAAAUGUUUUAUUUUUAUUCUUCAUCGAAAGAGUGCAAUUUUUCCUCUGUCUUCUCUGGGUUCAUGUAGAGUGACUGCAGUUGCAGAUUAAGAUAUAGAUUUAGGGGCACUACUACUUUUUAUUUAGUUAUAAUGGUACACAAUUCUUUCUCUGACUUCUCUUAUCGACUUGUUAAUUAGUUUUUACAGGUAGCUUACGAGGUCAUGGGUUCUAAUCAUUCUGACAUUGUGUUUGUGUUUUAUGUUCAUGGGUUUAGGUUGUUUUGCUUUCUGGCCAACUUAACAGAAAUAUCUAAACCACAUAGGGCUAAUCAUAAUUUUAGUUCUUAUUCUCUGUUCUUUCAACACCCUCGUUAAUUGUGAAUUUGUGAUAGAUGGUCAUAUGUACGUGAUAACAGCAAAGUAUGUAAUUACAGGGAGGCAGUGGUGAUAUCUGUCAAGAAUUUUUCAGGACUUGUAUCAAUCAAUAAUAAUGGCAGCUGGCUUUGCAUGGGUGAAGCAGUUCACCUUAAUCCGGUUAGUCAUAGUUAAAACUGGCUGUUUUUUUAUUAACGAUUAAGCAUUGCUUCUAGGAUGUUUUUUGCCAACAGUUUCCAUGAAAUUCAACUACUGACUAAAAAAUCUUUUAUCCAACUUAAUGGAUAUUUCCAAAGUCCGGUUUUUCCGUGAAAUGUGUUAGGUAAUAAACAUGGGACCAAGCUGUCAUAUUUAGUUGAUAGCUAUUAAUGGUCUAAAUGAAUUACUUUUGUCCUUGCACAGGUUAUAUGACUUUUAACUAAGUGGUUCCUAAUGUUUUUAUCUAUAGCAAGUAAGGUUUCUUUCUAUAAUAACGAUCCUGUGGUAUGGAAGACCUUCAUGGGACGCCAUUGUUUUUCAUGAUUUCACACGAUUUUUUGCAGCUUUUCAAAGAUAUUGCCUCUGUUUAAUCUUUGCAGUUUUAUGUAAAAGUGAGAAAUAAAUAAUUAAGAAAAGAAAUAUAUCCUGAUUGCUUAUUUCAAUAAUUCGAGUUUCAGUUGUUUCCUUAAAUUUCUCUGUUUCAGGUGGAGGAAGUUAAAAAAUAAGCUUUAAUUCUUUAGUCAUCUCUCGAACACAGGGGAAUUCCUGCAGGAGAAAGAUGUUUAUCCUGCAAAGUGAUACUUCCUAAUCCAAGAUUACGGUGUGUGUUAACAUCUUUAUAUUGUUCCUACGCAUGUUAUGUCAUUUAUUUUUGAAGUCAUAAAUUCAUAUCUGUUUAGCAUAUAAUUAGUGCUUCUAUGAUUUGGGCACGAUGUGCCAUGUUUGGCGGCAAUAUUUGAGGACUGAUUUUUUGGGGUUAGAAAUUUUCUUAAUGAUUCAGUUGACCUAGGGGAUUACUACCCUUUGUUUAAGCAUAUAUAUCUUGUGAUGAGGAUGCCUUUCAUUUCAUUCCUAGCUUCUCAUUUUCAAAUAUUGUGAUUGCAGUUAGAAAGAUAUGAAUGAUAUUGUCUAUGACAGUUGCAAUAAUUUUUGAGAAAUUGAAGCAUUAAUUUGGAAUCUAAUUCACUAGAUGUGCUGCAAAAUGUAUUAAUACGGUGUUAAAGUAGUUGGUGAUAGUCUUCUUAUGGAACUUAUAAUUUUAUUUCAUAUUUUUGGGUUGUAGCCCCAUUUCUUUAAACCUGCCAGGGGUCAUUUCCUAUGACGAAUUGACACAACUGAAGCCAGAUCAUCCCAAACUCAAUUUUAUUCUUUGGACAGCUCCAAUGUGGGACAGUUAAGCUUCCAUUUGUGCCUCAAAAACUCCAAAGCUCAUUUAAUUUGUCCCCAUGUAUUAUUGCGUUUUGUCUGUUUGCAUUUUGUAAAACCGUUUGGAAGAUGCUGUGAGUACCAUAUGAGACAUCUAAACUGACUAGACAACUAAACUUGCAAGUCGCAACACUGUUGAAUCUCCUGCAUAAGAUUUAUUAUUGUGGUAACUUCAUCUGUGAAUAAGAAUGGUGAUUAGCAAGGAUUGUAGGUGGUUAUGAAGAAAAAAAUGCAUAACUAUUUUUGAAGCUGCUAAUUGAAGAUACAAUAAAGACAGUUUUAAAUAGAAGUUUUUUUAAUUUUUGUUCUUGGGGAGACUGCUAUUAUAGUAUUAUGAAACCACUUCAGCAAGUAUGCAAGGUCCCAAUAGGAAGUAGUAUUUGAGGUCUAACGUGUCCAUUCACGUGUACCAUGGAUCCUUUGAAAUCCAGAUGAAAUCAAGAUAUAGCCAUGUGGAUCCUUAUCUAAUAAUAAUAAAAAGUCAAUGAAAUUAAUGGAGACAAAAGUGCAUACAACGUUGGGGUAUGAAAACUAAACCUUAGCUUUGGUACUAUGUUAAAAGAGUGCUUAACCCAAAAGCUUAAGCAAAGUAAGUGGCCAAUAUCAGUAUUAAAAGUCUAACAAUGAUAUUGCUCUAAAACUGGUUCACAAUUGGUGUCCAAUUGUGGAACUAGCGCUGGCAUUAGAAACACAGAUCGAGGCAUGGGUUUAUGAAAAUGUAGGCUUCCGGGAUAUAGCUUUUUGAGAUAGCUGCUGUUUGGAAAAUCUUUUUUUUUUGGGGGGGGGGGGGGGGGGGGGGGAAUUUUUCAUUCUGCAUUUGUAUUUAAAAGAGGCCCUAUAUUGCAAAAUUUGAGUAAUUUAUUCUUGUACUUCUGAGAUUGUUAUGCAGGUUGUUCAACAAAUCAUAAAUCUAUGUUCUUUUCCUUUUUUCAUUUCCUUUUUAUAUCAUAUUGAUUUAUGACCUCUACUUUAGAAUUAAAUGACAAAAGUUAUUAUGUUUGGUGAACUAGGCAAUUUAUAAUCGCUUUUCUGUGGUAAAAGCUUCUUGCCCCUUUUAAAUUGGGCGUGUUAUCUGUUCCAUUGUUAAUUGCUCGAGCAUUCUGCAUUCCCCAAGCUUAGCUUCUUGAUGGCACCUUAUGCCUCUACCUACCUCAUGUCAAGAAACUUCAGGUUUACCUCAUGUCAAGAAACUUCAGAUAAAGUUGGAAUUGAUUGGUUUAAGUACCAUGUCCAAGUCAUUGGGUUAAUCUUGGUCUUCCGCUUAUGUUGGCCUUCCGAUUGUCCCAUUAGUCCAAGUUCUUAGCCAUAUAUGUGAUGAUGUUCUCAGAUGAUUGAUUAAGGUUGUCAUUUGGAAAGAAAACAUGAAAGUUCUCUUUUCUAGUUUUUUGGAGGUUACAGCUUGAAGGUAACACAUUUGUCUUGGGUGAAUUUCUGGAAUUUCAAGGGGAUCAGGAACAUACUUCAGUUUUGAGUUGUAUUGAAAGAUUGGACGUUAGUUGCUUGUUCAUCCUAGUGCUGAGUAUGUUUGGAUCUUCUAUUCUCUCUAGCAUGUAUGGCAUUCUUUUUUUUUCUGAUUGCUUUGUUCGACUACUAAAAUGUAAGCUUGUAGGUGGUUAGGUAUUGGGAGUUUGGGCAUUUAAUCCAUAAGAGUAUAUAUUCUUAUAAAUUAUGAGCUUGUAUGUUUAACUAUUUGGCCAUAUUUUGGCUGCCCUUGAGCUUGAGUAAGUAUAAUCUUUGUAUGCUAUUACUUUUAUGUAAAACAGAAGUUCUUAACCGAAUUUCUGUGUAGAGUUUUUAUUGUAUUUUGUAUGAUGUCAUUACCAUCAUAGGGGUCUUUAAUUGGUCAUGUUUGUGCAUUGUUCAUUUUAACAUUUUAAAAUUACAUUCCUUAUUGUAAAAUGCAAAAAUAAUAAUUGUACCGAUCAUUUGUUACAAGUGUUGUUAAAUGCUUGUAAAUAUUGUGUUCAUAUGUCCAUCUAGUGGGUGAGAAGUAGAGAGAAGUGAGAGAAAAUGUGAAUAGGAAGAACUACUUUAAAGGUAGUCUUUAAGUUCAUAGUUUACUUGUAAUGAUUAUUGACAUUGCUGUGGAUUUGGCACCGGAGCAGGCUUGGGAUUCUCUUUCACUAAAAAGUGAUUCGCUGCCAUGUUAUUAUUAUGCUUUUGUAAAGUGCUUGUAAAUAAUAUAUAUAUAUAAAUAACUGAUACUUGUAUCUUGUCUUUUUGAUCUUCUGAUAAUCCAUUAUCAAACUGUUUAUGACAAUUUGAAGCCCCUUCCACGCUCAAUGUUCCGUACUCUCAUCGUGACUUUUGAGAACAAGGAGCCUCAGCUGCUGAGUGGAAGAGGCUAACUCUAAGAUCAAAUAUUGAAAUUUUGUUUCAGCCAGAAAGCUCUUAUCAAAAUCUACAAAUUCAAGCUCUCUUCAAUGGUCUCUCUGGCACUGAGUGCUUAAAGAUACCCAUGCUGAAUGUUAAUCAUUAGUUAGGUGUUUCUGCCGUUUAUGGAAUCUGGUUAGCCGCUUUUAUGUUAUCGUUAUAGCAAAAAUUUGAAUUUCAGAAUAUCCGGCAUGCCGCUUUUCAUAUCUGGAUAGCCGUUUUUGAAAUCCGGAUAACCACUUUUGAAAUUCAGAUAUCCGUUUAUGUUCCAGAAGCUUACUGCCCAAAAUUCGGUCUUUCGCUUGUCAAAUCCGGUUAGCCACUUGCUACAGUAACUGCUACAAUAAAUUAUUUUCUAAAAUUACAGUUUGACCUCAAAAUUUUAUAAAACUGUAUUAUGGUCUAAAACGUUAUAAAUUUUGCAUAUAUGUCUAAUUUCAGAAUCUCUAAAUAAUGCUUGCUAUUCCUUAAACUUUAUGAAAUUAUGAUAUGGCCUAAAAUGCUAUGAAACUUUUCAAAUAAGUCAUUCUCCAAAAUUUCAAGCAAUACUUAUUGAUUUCAAAGUUUUCAAAACUAUUUCAAUUAAACCAUAAACUUGAAAAACAACUAAUUUCAUAAAAUUAUUUUUCUAUUAAAUAUAAAACUUUUAUAAUGUGAAAAUAAUGAUUUAUUUAAAAUGUAUAAAAAAAUAAUUUGAACUUAAAAGAUUAAUAAUUCUUAAUCUUGUUUGUUAUCAUCAAAAUUAACAUUAUGGAAACAUAUAUGUUAACAGAUAUUUCUAUUCAUAUGCUUGUUUAUGUUGAUGACUUAAUUAUUGCGGGGAAUAAUACUACUGCUAUUUAUGCUUUUAAAGCCUAUUUAAGCCGUUGUUUUCACAUGAAGGAUUUGGGUUUUCUUAAGUAUUUUCUAGGCAUCGAGAUCUCCCGAGGACCUAUUGGCUUGUUCUUAUAUCAGCGUAAAUACACGCUGGAUAUUUUGGCUGAAAUCGAUCUUCUUGGUGCAAAACUAGCUCAAUCUCCUAUUGACCAAAAUCACUGUGUUGCUCUUGAUGAUGGCACUUUGUAUUCUGAUCUCGAGCGGUAUCGCAGGUUCAUUGGUCGCAUAAUUUAUUUGACUAUUACUCGUCUCGAGCUUUGUUAUUCAGUUCAUGUUCUGGCUCAAUUUAUGCAAUGUCCUCGAGAGAUUCAUUGGGAGGCUGCUAUUCGUGUCAUGCAUUAUCUAAAAGGUCAUCUAGGUCGAGGUAUUUUCUUACGACAGGACAAUGCACUUCAACUUAUUGCCUAUUGUGACUUAGAUUGGGGUUUUUGAAGGUAUUGAUUCCACUGCGAUUGCUGCUUCAUCUUGUCCUCUUACAUAUCAUUCUCUAAAUGGUUAUUUCAUUUUUCUGGGUAGUUCUCCUAUUUCUUGGAAGACAAAGAAACAACAUAUUGUCUCUCGUUCUUCGGCUGAAGUAGAAUAUCAGUCUAUGGCCUUCACUAGUUGUGAAUUAACUUUGCUAAAAGCUUUGUGAAAGUCCCUUGAUGUUUCGCAUUCUCUACCAAUGUGUUUUUAUUGUGAUAGUCAGAUUGUGCUUCAUAUUACCGCCAAUCCUGUUUUUCAUGAGCGCACUAAGCACAUUGAGAUUGAUUGUCACUAUGUGUGGGAUCAAAUCCAUGCUGGUAAUAUUGCUGCUUCUCAUGUUUGUACUUCUGAGCAACUUACAGACAUUUUCACAAAGGCACUUGGUCGACACCAGUUUGAAAAUAUCCUUUGCAAGUUGGCGUUCGUGAUCAUCAUGCUCCAACUUGAGGGGGAGUAUUGGGCACGUGUGCUGUAAAUGUUGUAACAUAUUCCAUAUCUUUGUAUAUUUGGUAGCUUUUGUAUUUCAUUAGGAAUGCUAUUAGAUAACGAUAGAAGGAGCAUAUUUAAGAGAUUAUUUAAAAGAAUUGUUAGCUGACUUUCAUAUUGGUGUAGCUAUAUAUGUGAAUAGCCGUGUGAUAUGCAAUAAUACAUACAAAUUUCUUCUCCUCUCAUAAACGUUCUUAUCUCAUAAUAAAACAUAGAGGAGGAGAAGAUGGGUUCACUAAAAGAUAGAUUCAAAGUGCCUACAAGAAGUCAAAGCCUAAUUUUUUCAGAAACAAGGCCUUCAACCUAAUGAGGAGAGUAAGCGAAACACGAAGUAAGAUGAAAGAAAGAGAGAGGAAUCGAUUUUGUAUAAGAAAAGUCAUCUAGCCAAGGGUUAGCCAAGUGUAAGGGGGAGAUCAUCCCUCACUCAAAUGGGUUUUAAUCUAACGGCAAUGAGACAAUGACCACUGAAAAAAGGGGUUAGAAGAACAUGAAAGGGCGAGAAAAAAAUUUGGACCGUUUAUGAAAUGCAAGGGCCAAAAAUCCACUGCUUGUCAAUAGCCAAAGGGAGGAUAGCUAGAGGCAACAAUGCAUGCAGUGGAGGGACGUAAUAGGAUGUACCACAUAGGUUAAUUAUCAGAACAUUUAAAAACCACUAAUCCAUUCUCAAGUUUUAAUGAAAGGACCACGUAAGGCCAUGUUGUUGAGUUGGGGAAGUGGGAGAAAAUUUUCAGUGGCAUCCCUCAAGUGUAUCAGUUUUCGUUAUUGCCUUGCUGCAAAAUAUCAACCAGUCCCUCUAUCUUACUUCAUAUUUAGGACCUUAAAAAAGCGCUACUGCAGGUCAGCUCUUUGCUGACAUGGACUAACAACUUAAUGACACCUGACAAAGAAAGUCAACCAACAUGAAAUUGAUUCAUUUGACUAAAUGGCAGGAUAAGCUCAUUGGAAAAAAGAUAGUUUCGUUAAAUAUGCUAAACACCAAGGAGUAUUAUCGGAACCCAAAAUUGGUGGUUAAAGCCAACACGUGAACACUACAUUCCAUAAUGAAAAAGAGUAAAAUAACUCUUUUUUGGGCUAAAAAGAAAGAGCCAAUGAAAGUAGAGAUUCUUAAGCAAAGUAAUAAGAGAGAGCCACGUCAGUCAUCCUUUGUUGCACCCUAAAAAGUAAGACCAUAAUGUUGAAAGCUCACCAUGUGACCAACUAUGAAGGCAAAAAAGAGUCUGAUGGUUUUCUGACUUUUCAAGCUCACGAAUGUCAAUAUCAAAGGACAAAAAAAAACUAAAAUACUAAGAUAACCUCACUUGAGGGAGGUCACACAAUAAAUAUCAGCCACAUGCCUAAAUGGACCAAAAUGACUCUCAGGUACACUCUAAUAUAAAGCUCAAGCGUUUCUUUAAAAUGGCAACUUCUUCCUUACUAAAAGAUAGACUUGUAUUUUUCAACUAAAAAGCUAAUGCUAUUGUCAAGCGUUAAAUGUUCUUUGGAUUUUAAGGCCGCCAUAUUAUCUUUCCAAAAUCUUACUUGAGCAUCAGAGUGUGGUCAUGGGUCACUGUCGGCUCCACCUCUAGUCUUAACUUGUUCGAUUUUAAAGUUUAACAAAGCACAAAGGCUUAUGGUUUCAUCUUCAUUUUCAUUCGUUUUUUAUCACAUUCUUAUAUAGCCAACUCACCCAGUCAUUCUCCAACCUCUUGCAAGAGUACAUCUUGAGCUUAGGAAGGCAGCAAUAUUCCUUUUUAAAAAAAUUUAUUUGUUUUAAAUUAGAUCCACUAGAAUUUGGUUAAAAUUUAUAGUAUUGCAAAUUUAUAGUCCUUUUUUUCUUUAAGACAUUAAUGAUUUGUUCUUAUUCUGUUCUUGGGGUGUAUGAUACAAACGAAUAGGUAGAUCAGAACGAGACAUGAAUUUACUUCAAGGACAUAUAUACUUGGCAGAGCACUAAUUAUUUUAGCAUGUAUGAGCAUGACAAUAGCACAACUGCAGGGCAGAGUAUGUUCUUGAAAUUUUGAAGCUACAAAUGCAGAAUUCCUAUUUAAGAACACCAUUAACAUCUUAAACAAAAAGUUCAUGGGGUUUUAUUAGUGAGCAUUGGCCACCAAUUAUUGUACAAUGCACAUGCCUGCCAGAUUAAACACCAAGAACUAUUCAUCACACACUUGCAAAAGACUUGAACAAAUAUUAUUUAGCAAUAAAGAACACUACUGACCAAUAUUUGAAAUCUACAAUAUUAUUCCUCCAGAUAUAAAAAUUGCUAAGAAAGUUAGUUUUCUAGUGUGUAGGAAAGCAGGCAAUGAAUAUAUUAUCAACACUCAUGUAUAGAAGAAGAAAAUCUUUAGGUUAGAAAUUGAAAAGAAAAUUGAGAAGAAAGAAGUAGGCAUUUCAAGUAGAGGUAGAAAACACAACAAUGAUUAUUCAAAAAACUAUAAAGAUACAAAUAAAUGAAUUACAAGAAGCAACAUUAAAAAUUUACAAUACUCUCAAAUUUGAAUAGUAACCCUAUUUUCUCCUCAUUUCAGAAAGCUAGACAAUUGAGAACCAUAGCCAUGAGAGAUUAAAAUAAGGAUAAUAUAUACUCCUAAAAUCACAAGAUACCCAAUAAUCUUCUAGAAAACAGUUACUCUGUAGCUCAACAACAAUUAAAUUUAGUUGUUUGAGACAAGCCCUCAUUUUUUUAUCAUUUUGUUAUAUUGUUGUAAAAUUCUAGCUGUAGAGAGUUAUACAAUCAACUUGAGCAACCUCUCCCAAGAUCACUAGAUCAGAAUUACAAGAUGAAUUAAAGAUGAUCCGAAAAUUACGAUGAUAAAAAAACAACUCAACAGUGCCACGAAUUAACAGUAAACAAUCAAAGAAAACUAAAAGAAACCAAGAAUGAACCCAGACACAACAAGUAACGUGGUUCAGUCAAUUCAACAUUGACCUACAUCCACGGAGGAACAAAUUAACCAGCUUUAUUAAUUCAACCAAGUCUUGUUUACAAUAAGAUUUACAGAGCCCUAAUCAAGAAACAAGAGACCUCUGUUUACACAAGCUCUCUCUCUCCAGAAUCCUCUGAAACCCCCUCUGUUUGUUACACCAGAAUCAGCUCCAGCUGCUGAGUUUAUAACAACCCAGAAGCAUUCCCAGCUAAGCACGUGAGCAGCAGAUGACUCUAAUGACUUUUAAUAGCCUUCACACGUCAUUUAAAAUGUCAUGUGCAUUGCUUGUGAUUCUUAUAACCAAAACGAUAGAACCAUAGGUCGUUUUGCGAAGAUAUAUAAAGGUAGCAUGAAACGCAGAUUACUGUGUCGUUUUGCUUUGUUAUUUGCAGAGCCAAAACGCCAAGCUUCCUGUCGUUUCUUUAACCUUUUUGAUUUGUUUCAUUUUGGUGCAACAUAACUCCACCUUGAAGCAAAUCAACCCUGAUCAAUUUUCUCCGCAUCCCUCUGUAUCCUCAAAGGCUAUCAACACCAGCCAUGUUCAAGAAAGCUUUGAACUUGGCUGUAGGAACAACUUUAGUAAGUAUAUCUCCUGGAUUAUCAUCUGUGUGAACCUUUACCAUCUUGAUUACUCAUUUGGACACUUCAUUUCUUAUAAAGUGUAGUUUGACAUCAAUAUGCUUGGUUCUUUCAUGAUGAGCUGGGUUUUUACUAAAGUAAAUGGCACUUGAGCUAUCACAAUGGACUUCAACUGUUUUCUGGCUCACCCCUAAUUCUUCGAUCAUCCCUUUGAGCCACAGAGCUUCUUUAACAGCCUAUGUGGCUGCUGUGUAUUCAGCCUCUGUGGUUGAUAAGGCAACCACAUGUUGGAGGCUUGCCUUCCAGCUGAUGAUGCAUCCAUUUAGCAUAAACAAGUACCCUGUUAAUGAUCUCAUUCGGUCAUUGUCUCCAGCAAAAUCUGAGUCUACAUAACCCCACAGACCACCACUUCUUCCUUAUGAUCUUCCAUACAGCAGUCCAAGUUUUUUAGUACCAUUCAGAUACCUUAGUAUCCACUUGAAUGCUUGCCAAUGCUCUUUCCUAGGUGUUGCCAUGUAUCUGCUAACUAUGCUCAAAGCAUAAGAAAUAUCAGGUCUUGUUAAGACCAUGGCAUGCAUCAUACACCCUACAACAUUAGCAUAUGGAAACUUUACCAUUUCAUGUCUUUCAUCAUAUGUCUUAGCACAUUACAUAUUGGAGAGCUUGAAAUGGGAGGCCAGUGGUGUCAUUACAGACUUACAGGUUGACAUGCCAAAUGUCUUAACUAUCUUCUUCACAUAGCUCCCUUGUGACAGAAACAUAGUGCCUUCCUUCAUGUUCCUCUUUAUAUCCAUGCCUAAGAUCUUCUUGGCAUGUCCUAGAUCCUUCAUAUCAAAUUCUGAACUCAGAAGCUCUUUCAAUGCUUCAAUCUCAUCCUUUUCUUUACAAGCAAUUAACAUAUCAUCUACAUACAGCAACAAGUAUAUGUAGUGAUGUGUCUUAAGCAGCUUGUAAUAGACACAACAAUCGAAACUGCAUCUUUUGAAUCCAUUUGUUGUAAUGAACUCAUCAAACCUGAGGUACCACUGCCUUGGGGACUGUUUUAAGCCAUAUAGUGAUUUCUUAAGUAAACACACAUGUGCUGGUCUCUCUGGAUCCACAUACCCAUCUGGCUGAACCUUUAGAAUUUCUUCUUGUAAUAUUCCAUGAAGGAAUGCAGUUUUGACAUCGAGUUGAUCAAGCUCCAUGUCAUAAACUGCAGUCAUAGCUAGUAAUACUCUGAUUGAAGUAUGUCUAACUACUGAUGAAAAAACUUCUUUAAAGUCAACCCCUUUCUUUUGAGUGUAGCCCUUAGCCACUAACCUAGCUUUAAAUCUCUUAAGUUCUGAAGCUGUCAGGCCAUCCUUAAUUCUGUAGAUCCAUUUACAACCAAUGAGUUUUCUUUUUUCAGGUUUCAUUACCAGCUCCCAGGUGUUGUUUUUAUAGAAAGAUGGCAUUUCUUCAUCCAUUGCCUGCUGCCAGUCAGUUUUGUAUGAGCUUUGCAUUGCUUCUUUAUAGCUCAUUGGUUCUUCUUCGUCAAUCUCUCGUGAAGUGGCAAGUGCAUAUGCAAUAAGAUCUGCAUAGCCAAAUCUCUUUGGGGGUCUUAUUACUCUCAUUUCUCUGUCUUUAGCUAGAUGAUAAUCUUCUGUAUGGGGCCUUGGGUGUUCUGAGCUUGUAUCCCCAUCAGCAGCAACUUCUUCAUAUGAAUCUGAAGCAUCUCCAAACAUUUUCAUUGCUAGAUGCUCCACCUCAAACUGUAUAACAUCAUCAGUUUUGUUAUGAGGUUCAACAUUCUCAAUAGGUUUCUCCUCACUAUGCACCAUCUGCUCAUUAAACACCACAUCUCUGCUGACUAUACAUUUUGGAGGGGACAAGUUUGUGCACCAAAUUUUAUAGCCUUUUACUCUUUCUGGAUAACCUAUAAACAACCCCUUUAGAGCUCUUGGUGCUAGCUUUCCUUGGUUGCAUGUGCAUAGGCAGUGCAGCCAAACACUUUAAGCUUGUUGUAGUCUGUUGGUUUGCCAUACCACUUCUCAUAUGGUGUUUUGAAGUCUAAGGCUGAGGAAGGGCUCAAAUUAACCAACAUGCAAGCUGUUAGCAGUGUUUCUGCCCAUAGCCCUUUAGGUAGCUCUGAUUGUAUCAUCAUGCAUUUGACCUUCUCCAUCAGAGUCCUGUUCAUUCUUUCAGCCAAGCCAUUCUGUUGUGGUGUUAGCCUCACUGUUCUGUGUCUAGCAAUGCCUUCUUUUGAGCAGAAUUCAUCAAACAUCUUAUUACAGUACUCUAGUCCAUUGUCAAUUCUAAGAACUUUCAGCUUCUUCCCUGUUUGGUUUUCAACAAGUGCUUUCCACUCUUUAAACCUCCCAAACACCUGAUCUUUGGUUCUAAGUACAUACACUCAAACCUUCCUAGAAUAAUCAUAUAUUAUGGACAUAAAGAAUCUAUUCCCACCCAAAGAUGGAACCUGUGAAGGUCCCCACAGAUCUGAAUGCACAUAGUCCAGGAUACUUUUGGUCUUGUGGACAGAUUUCUUAAAGCUAGCUCGAGUGGAUUUCCCUAGAACACAAUCCUCAUAGAAAUCUAGUUCAUCAAUCUUGUCAGCCCUCAAAACUCCCUGUUUGCUAAUUCUUUAAGACCUUUUAGGCUUAUGUGUCCCAACCUCAGAUGCCAAAAAGUCUGGUGUUAUCAGCAUUAGCCUUUACAGACACACUGGAUUCACAUGUUACUACUUCCCCAUCUAAGACAUAAACCCCAUUCUUCCUUUUGCCUUUUAUAAUCAGUGUUGAGCCAUUUAAGAUUCUUAGUUCCUCACACUCUAAUUUUAUACUACAUCCAAUUUGCUCAAGCAUCCCUAGAGAGAUUAAAUUCCUCUUAAGGUCUGGUACAUGCCUAACAUGUUUUAUUAGCCUUACAAUCCCAUCAUGUAGUUUUAGAUGUAUGUUUCCCAUCCCAGUGACCUUAUACACUGCAUUGUUUCCCAUCAUUACCCUUCCCCCAUCAUAUUCAUGGUAAUCAGAAAAAUAACUUUUUACAGGACUCAUAUGAAAGGUGCAGCCAGAAUCAAGGAUCCACUUACCUCUUUGUACUUCAUUAGUUGCCACACACACUCCAGCUGAUUCAUAUCCCUUAUAUUCAACUAUUGCUGCAUCUCUAUUCUGUUCUUUCUUCUUUUGUUUCUUCUCAGGGCAGUCUUUCUUGAAGUGUCUUUCAUUGUGGCAUUGGAAACACUUUAGAUUCUUGUUUUUAUUCUUUCCCUUUCCUUGCUUCUUUUUCUUUCCCUCAUUUCUGUCAUUUCUGCCUCUCACAGUCAAACCCUCUCUACUCUCCAUGUUAACUUGCUUUUCUUGUAGACCUCUGGUAUUCAAUGCAGCCUUAACCUCAUCCAGAGACAAGGUUUGUCUGCCAUACAUCAAAGCAUCCACAAAGUUGGAGUAUGAAUGUGGUAAUGAGCUUAUUAGAAGUAGAACUUUACCUUUAUCAUUCAGACCCUCAUCAAUGGUCUCCAAAGUGUCACACACUUUGUUGAACUCAUCGAUAUGUUCUUCAAGAGAGGAUCCCUCAGCCAUCUUUAAUGAAAACAUCCUCUUCUUGAUAUAGAGCUUGUUUGCCAGUGACUUUGUCAUGUACAGAUUCUCAAGCUUAGCCCAUAGCUCUGCCACUGUUCUCUCCUUAGCCACUUCUCUGAUAACCGAGUAACUCAAACUCAGAAUAAUUGUUCUUCUUGCUUUCUUGUCGAUCUCAGCAGCUAUUUCUGGAGAUUUUGAUGAAGGCCCCUCAUACCCUUCUUUCUUUGUUGUUGGUUUUAAUGCUUCACCCAGGCCUUGUGUAAUUAACAAUGCCUCCAUUUUCACCUUCCACAUAUUAAAGUCAUUCUUCCCAUUAAACUUUUCAAGAUCAACUUUACGAGCAGUCAUACUUGUAUCUGAUCAAGAAAUCUAGCUCUUAUUCCAAUUGUAGAGAUUGGCAAGUUAUACAAUCAACUUGAGCAACCUCUCCCAAGAUCACCAGAUCAGAAUUACAAGAUGAGUUAAAGAUGAUCCGAAAAUUACAAUGAUAAGAAACAACUCAACAGUGCCACGAAUUAACAGUAAACAAUCAAAGAAAACUAAAAGAAACCAAGAAUGAACCCAAACACAGUAAGUAACGUGGUUCAAUCAAUUCAACAUCGACCUACAUCCACGGAGGAACAAAUUAACCAGCUUUUUUGAUUCAACCAAGUCUCAUUUACAAUAAGAUUUACAGAGCCUUAAUCAAGGAACAAGAGACCUCUGUUUACACAAGAUCUCUAUCUACAGAAUCCUUUGAAACCCCCUCUGUUUGUUACACCAGAAUCAGCUCCAGCUACUGAGUUUAUAACAACCCAGAAGCAUUCCCAGCUAAGCACGUGAGUAGCAGAUGACUCUAACGACUUUUAACAGCCUUUACACGUCAUUUAAAAUGUCACAUGCAUUGCUCGUGAUUCUUAUAACCAAAACGAUAAAACUAUAGGUCGUUUUGCGAAGAUACAUAAAGGUAGCAUGAAACACCGAUUACUGUGUCGUUUUGCUUUGUUAUUUGCGGAGCCAAAACGCCAAGCUUCCUGUCAUUUCUUUAACCUUUUUGAUUUGUUUCAUUUUGGUCCAACACUAGCAAUGUGGUGAAACAAUAUAGGAUAAUCAUAAACCAAUCAAGGAAGAGAACACAUAACAAAUAAAAGCAAGCAACCACUAUAACUAACAAGUCCAUGAGGUACAAAAUAACAGUUAAAUUUACUCUAAGGCAACAGAUGGGCAAUAUGAACUUAACAUAAACAACAAAAGCUUUUCAAGAUUACCCAUCAAGAGAUUUCAUUACAUAUGAAUUUUACCAUGGUCAUCAAAUAUAAUGCUAACAAAAUCAAAAACAAAGUUUACAAUGUUUUGAAAUAUGUGUUUUUUAUAUUUUAGUGGUAUUCUCAUUUUAACAAAAUGAGGAUGUCCUCACUAGAAAAUGAAUUAUAUAUAGAUAUAAUGCUAAUUUAGUCUAGGAUCCUCGACUUUAUUAAAGUCUAGAAAAGCUAUUAAAUAGCUCAAUUUAAUAGUAUUGUUUGGGAAAAAAUUUGGGUUCAAACAUGAACCAAUUUUUCAAGGGUGACAAAGAGCGUGCGUUAGCGACAGUUUCAAUAUCAAGUUAUCCAUUUUGUCUGUGUGAGACUCUUACAUGAAAUUAUAACUUCUUUGCAUUUUAUUUUAGGUACAAUUAGCAAGUUGUGAUUCUAGAAAUCAUGUUGCAGAAAACAUUAGACAAAAGGUGAGAAGGACCACAAUUUAAUUGUCAAUUUCAAUUCCUAAUUUAUGUAUAAGGAACAUAGUCUAAUCGAAGACUAACACUUCUUAUUUGUGGUUUUACUUCAGGUAGAAUAUGAACAAGUAACAAAUCAUAAUAUGACUUAUAAUGUAAAUCAUGUUACAGAAAAUAUAUGUUCCAAUUCAUGGGUGAGAAAGAACAUGCAUUGUUGACAACUCUUUAUAUCAAUUACGAAUGUACUGCAGGAAAAAUAUAUUCAGAACUAAUGCUAUUUACGGUUCUUAUUUCAGGAAGAAUUGCAACUACUACCUAGUCAUAAUUUGGGUUUGAUUUUAUAAAUCAUGUUGCUGAAAAAAUCAGAAAAAAAUUCCUACAAGUGAGAAAAAAAGCUUGAAUUUGUCAACUUACAUAUGUAUGAUAAAUGGUGUCCCAAAUUACUAAUGUCUUGUUCAUGGCCUUUACUUCAGGCAAAUUAUCAAUUACCAAGUCACUAUUUUACUUUCGACAUUAGAAAUCAUGUUGUAGAAAAAUACUCUUCCAAAGCUCAGAAAUAACACAACUUGUGGCAGUUAUGAAAUAUCAACAUAUGAAUAUAGUGCGUGAGUAACUAUUUUUUGGACUAAUGCUACUUUGUCAUUGGCUUUUAUUUUAGGAAGAAUCUAAAUUGUUACCAAGUCACAAUUUGGCUUUGCACUGUAGAAAUCGUGUUGCAGAAAGUACUUUUCCAAUAGUGAGAAAAAGCAGCCAUAAUAUCUCUAAUACACUAGAAAUAUAUACAUACAAAACUAAUGCUUAUUUGUCCAUUAUUAAUUCAGGUGUAAUCUCUACAAUUGCCAUGUUACCAUUUGAUUUCUUAUUUUAGAGAUCAAGUUGCAGAACAAACUUUUUCAGGCGUGAGAAAGAUUGCUAUAUAAACAAUUUCAAAUGCUAAUCUAUGUAUUUUGUGCAUGAGGAAUGUUUAUAGAAUUUGCAUUUCUUCCUACAUUGUUCUUAGGAGGAACCUUUGGUGUUUGCUCAAUUUGAUGCUCUUUACGGUUGUAAUGGAUCACCGCUGCAGUCACUAGAACAGAGAUCUUCCUCAUGAUAUUUUGGUGGCUUCAGCAACGAGUGUGAUGGGAUGAAUUCUCAAUUUAAUGGCCGCGGGCAGCAGGAAGAUGUAAAUUCACAAUGGGGGCUACCCAUGAAAAAUACCCUCUUGAAGAAACUGAACUUGCUCUCUCCAGUCUCCAAUAGCUAAUGGAGAAUAUUAUUGUUGAAAUUGUGAUAACACUUCAUUCUUGCAGGAUGUAUUCCCAGCUCUGUUACAUAGUAAAAUAUUUAUUUCAGUAUAUGAUUGUGUUGGCUAGUUCAUGAAAGUUAAUGCUUGUUUAAUUGAAAUAUAGUUAUGAGUUUGAGCCUUAUGAAGCUUGUUUCCUAGUUCCGUAGGAGCAAGUCAGAAAGAUUGAGAAAUAAAAUCAUAAGUUUUGAUUCCUUCUCUAGAUGAUCAUCUUAGGUGAGGAUUUUGUGAAAUGCAUGGAGGUAAACGAUCAAUGAAUGACUUGAGAAUAUUAAUUUAAGUAGCACAAACAAUAAUCAAAUCCUCCUAGGCGGUAAUGUCGUUAAUUUAUUGUUGUUGAUGAUUUGGUACACUGAUGAUGCUUCAAUCAUCUUAAAUUCCAUUCAAAAUUGUGUAAUCGUGAGUAGCGUAUGUAAAUAACUAUUAAAUCCUCUUGAAGGAAAGUAUUGUUACUACAUAUAAUAUCACACAUGGUCUGUAAUCUUUGAGACUCAUUAUAUACUAAAGGAAUUGUUAUGUUGUCCCCUUGGUCUCUAUUUGAUAUUAAUGGGUAGCUAUGGUGAAGUUUUGGAAAACUUCAUUUUGUUAAACAUACUAACAGAACUCUUGUCUAUAGUGCUCAUACGACGGUUUAUAGACCUAAUGCAAGAUAAUCCGUGGAUGGUACAAGAAGGGAAUGUAGUUUUUUUCAUUGUGAGAUCAUGGCAAUUACUUUUCCAUACCUCAGAUUAAAUGACCUAGUUAACUUACAUGAUAAUGUAAGUAACAUAAGUUCAACAACAAUCGUUCGAUGCGAAGUUGAAAAUCGAAGUGGCUAAAAUGUUAGGUGAUCGUAAGGGGAGUUGUGGGCAACCAGGACAAACCGGUGGAUAGCGUAGAAGGCUACCGGGUGAAUCUAGAACUCUAAUUAACGAAAUAAAAAGAAUAACGCCGCGGACACGCUAGGAGGCAACAACAAACAUUUUAAGAGUUAAAAUUUCUAGGGUUUUCACAUGAUAAAUGAAAUAAUGGAAGAAAGAGAUUUAUAGGGGAUAUCAAUGUGCAAUAAUGCAAACAUUUACAUUAUCAACGGAUGAAUGAAACUGGGAGCAGAAACGUGCAGUUAUGAACGACGAUUAAUUUUGUAGCUAAAAAGUUGAAAUAGGGGGUUCAUGGCAAGAAAUGCCAACGCAGUAUGAAGCAGUCGUAAAAGAAAUUGUUGUCGUUAAUAAAAUAAGAGGUGGGGCAGUGGACUUGCAGCAUAGGAUAGUGACACAACAAGGUGAAAAGAACGUUGAGGGAGAGAUAGAGGGAAAUGCUGGUUAUGUGUUUGUAUCGUAUUUGUAAGUAUCGGUGACAGCAAGAAAAAAUAAUGAAUACCAAUCUUUAAUGUUAUGUUAGCAAGUAAAACAAAGUAAAAUAGGUAAAUGCAACAUGGUAAUUUGAUAUAUAUGCUUAAAAAAAUUUGAAGCAGACAUAACAAGACUGAUAUGGACUUGUAGUAGUGGAGGUAGAGGGUAAUAUCCACUUAUGUGAUUUGAGACUGUCUAUUUAUAGCGUUAAUGGAAUGAAUACAAUAUUGAUAAAUGUGUUUGAUCAGUUGUGAAGAUAUAGAUUAGUUUGGUGACUAAUAUGUCAUUUAUGUAUAGUUGAAGCUGUAUGGAAUUUGUAUAGCAUUUGUAGUUAAGGAGUAGUAUAUGGAAAUUAAUAACAAACAGUUUGAUUGAUUAUAAUGGGAGAUAGAGGUUAAAUUGUUUAGUGUUCUAACUGAGUUUAUUCUUACACAUGCAACAGAAAAGCAGUACGGAAGCUGAAGGCAAAGGAUAGAAGGGGUUGUAUCACGAAUGAGGUGAGUUUGAUUUCUAUAGAAGCUAGGGUGAACAUAAAACUAACUAAGGUAACGUGAAAUGGGUGGUGAAAUAAAAACUAGUUGCUAAGUUAUGAUUAACACCUAUAUCGAAAAUAAUUUAGGUUAGGAAGGAGAUUGGAAAGGAGUUUAAGAAUUUGCCUCCCGAGAAAAAAUGCAAGUACACUGGAGGAAGCCACAGAGUAUCACCGGUUGAUGGAGGAAAAUCAAAGUUUGUAUUAAGGUGUGUGCCAGAUCGUCUAGCAAAUGUUGCCUCAAGUUUAACAGUGGAGCAAAAGGCACUGGUGAGAGCAAUUGGAUUUAGUACACUAAUUGAGAUGAAAUACGGUUGGCUGAAAAAGAAGUUAUGUGAGAGGUUAUUGGACAACGUUGAUACGGAAUGGUCUAUAUUGAGAGUUCAUGGUUGGGAGGUAGAGGUCAACACCGCGAGUUUUGUGCAAAUUAUAGGUAUUUUAGAUGAGGGAAUAUAGGUGGAGGUUGAGGGCGACAUGUAUGAAAUUGCUGGUUAUUUAGACCGGUUUGAGGCAAGUUAUAAGGGAAUACACAUAAAGAAAUUGGAUGACAUCCUAAAGAGUUGUCAAUGUGAUAACGAUGAGUUCAAAGUAACAUUUGCUCUUUUUUUGCUGGGUUCAGUGCUAUGUUCUCCCGACAGAGUCCAUAGAAGUUCAUUGUUGAGUAUUAGAAAAUGUAUAUUUAUAAAGGAGAAAACUGUCAUUUUACACUUCAAGUUCCACUAACAUUCAUACUUUUAUGUAUUUAAGUUUCUUGUCAUUUAAUUAUGUGUGUUGUAUUAUAAUUAAGUAUUUUAUGUAUUUUAGGGGCAUCAUAGUCAUUUCACAAUGAACGAGAGAUCAGACGGCAAAACGGACAUCACCUUUGAACUCAGGACGGUCGAAAACCUUAGGAGGAGCAUAAAAGGAAAAAUGACACUAUUCACAUGUACGGUACUAUCUACGUUACUGUUCACGACACUGUUCACAUAGACGGAUCGAUGAUGUGGCAUUGACCGAUGAUGUGGCAUUGACUGAUGAGGUGUCACGAUCCUGUUGGACUAAAAUUCUUAUGUACUGUUGAUCGAUGACGUGGCAGCAUAUCAGUAGGCCAAAAAUCUCGCGUACGGUACAUGUUGUUGUGCAAAUUUUAUUGAACUCGUAAGUGCAUGAAUCUAUUGUAGAAUAGAUCAAUGGUGACGAGUGUCGAUCUCACGAGGAGGUGGAUUUUAAUUGUGUAGAAUUAAUUUUUCUAAAUGGGUGGUUGGAUUUGUGGUAAAAGUGACUUAUAUUAUUCUAAAAUUGGAAUUGAAAUGGCGAGAAUAAAUUGAAGAGAAAUCUAUUGAAAUAACGUACUUGGGUAUCUGGAUCCGUAUCAACAUGCACCAUGGGCUAAAUACUCCUUAUUAAUGCCAAUUAAAUCAUGAGGGGGGAAUCCACACCUCAUGAACCACACUCUAAUCAAUAUGGUGCUAAGGGCUUAUCAUGCCAAAUAAUAAUAACAUUGUACUAGAGAGCCAGUGAAACCAAUGCGGUAUCUAGACAAGAUUAUUAUUAUUUGUCGACGAAAAGUCAAAUUAUCCAAAAAAAUUAGAGGGGAAGAGAAAGUAAAUUUACCAAAUAAAACCCAUGACACAUGUUGAGACUUCACCUUCAACCCAAGCUUGAAAGAAAAUUAGCUACUCAUAAUUGAACUAGGGGUCAAAUAUGAAUUUAUUAAAAUACGUAGAAAAUACAAGAUGGAGAAGGAAUUACAGAAAAUGGAGUUCAAAAAUGGAUUCAGAGAUAUCAGAAUAAGAGGGGGAGGCCCCCUUUUUAUAGAUACAUUGAGUAAAUCAUGACCAUCGGAUUAAAAACAGUUUGGACGCUCAGGAUUGCGCUACGUCAUCAGUCAACAGUACGCGGUUUGACCACGUGGGUGAACAGUAACAUGGUUUGACCCGGCUUUGAAUAGUAACGCGGUUUGGUUGAAAAUAAUCCUGUGUAAUGCAUGUACCGUACGCGCAAGUUUUGAUCCACUAAUAUGCUACCACGUCACCAUCAACAGUUCAUAAGAAUUUUAGACCAACAGGAUCAUGACACCUCAUCAGUCAAUGCCACAUCAUCGGUCAAUGCCACGUCAUCGAUCCGUCUAUGUGAACAGUGUCGUAAACAGUAACGUAGACAAUACCGUACAUGUGAAUAGUAUCGUACAUGUGAACAAUGUCAUUUUUCCUUUUAUGCUCCUCCUAAGGUUUUCGACCGUCCUGAGUUCAAAAGUGAUGUCCGUUUUGCCGUUUGAUCUCUCCUUUAUUGUGAAAUGACUAUGAUGCCCCUAAAAUACACAAAAUACUUAAUUAAAAUAAAACACACAUAAUUAAAUUACAAGAACCUUAAAUACAUAAAAGUAAGGGUAGUUAGUAAGACUUGAAAUGUAAAAUGAUGAUUUUCUCCUUUAUAAAUAUACAUUUUCUAACACUCAACACAUGCAUUACACAAGAUUAUUUUCAACCAAACCGCGUCAUUGUUCAAGUCGGGUCAAACCGUGUCACUGUUCAAACCGCGUGGUCAAACCACGUACUGUUGACUGAUGACGUGGCGUAAUCCUGAGCAUUCGAAAUGUUUUUGAUCCGAUGACCAUGAUUUACUCAAUGUAUCUAUAAAAAGGGGACUCUCCCCCCCCUUAUUUGAUAGCUCUGAAUCCAUUUUUGAGCUCCAUUUUCUGUAAUUCCUUCUCCAUCUUGUAUUUUCUGCGUAUUUUAAUAAAUUUCCAUUUUGCCCCUAGUUCAAUUAUGAGUAGCUAAUUUUCUUUCAAGCUUGUGUUGAAGGUGACGUUUCAACAUGUGUCAUGGGCUUUAUUUGGUAAAUUUAUUUUCUCAUUCCCUCUAGUUUUUGUGGAUGUUUUGACUUAUCGUCGACAAAUAAUAAUAAUCUUGUCUAGAUACCGCCUUGGUUUCACCGGCUCUCUAGUACAAGGUUAUUAUUAUUUGGCACGAUAAGCCUUUAGCACCAUAUUGAUUAGAGUGUGGUUCAUGAGGUGUGGAUUCCCCCCUCAUGAUUUAAUUUGCACUAAUAAGGAAUAUUUAGCCCAUGGUGCAUGUUGAUGCGAAUCAUAUACCAAAGCGCUUCAAUUUCAAUAGAUUUAUCUUCAAUUUAUUCUCGCCAUUUCAAUUCCAACUUAAAUUCUAAGAUAGUCUAAAUCACUUUCACCACAAAUCCAACCACUCAUUUAGAAAAAUUAAUUUUACACACAAUUAAAAUCCACCUCCUCGUGGGAUCGACACUCGUCACCAUUGAUCUAUUCUACAAUAGAUUCGUGCACUUGCGAGUUCAAUAAAAUUUGCACAACAUUCAUCAUUGUUGUUUGCAUUGAAGGAUUUAAAAAGAAUUAGUUCAAGGAAUUGGGCGUCCUUUUGCUUCGGCAAGCUGAUGUAGGGCAUAACAAGAUACAAGGAGGAGUAGUUGGGAUACGUCGGUGGUUGUUUAUUAUAUCUCCAGGUGAAGCUGUGGGUUUAGAUAUUGAAAAUAAAUAUUAUUAGUUUUAAUAAAAGAAUCGUUUGAAGGUAUAUUUACUCAUCAUUUUAGAUGAAUUAGAUUCGGAUAAUCAAUGACAAUACAAACAGUGUAUAAAUAGGUAUAUUUUGUUCCCUUUGGUAAUGAACAAUGUUAAUGAUGUUUACUAUUAUAAUUUGAAUGGAAACAUUUGAGCUAUAUAGAUAUUGUACAUAAAUUUUGUACAUUAUGCAAAAGUUAGAAGAGAUACAUCUAUAUACCCUAUUGUCAUGUGGGAUGCGAACGAGAUUAGGGUAUUUAUGAAGUGGAUAGACAAGUUGGGCGGUGUUGGCAAUAAUAAGGUAUAUAACACUGAAUUAAAAGACAAAUAAUGAUUUUCUCGCACAAUUGACAGAAAUAUGAUAUGGUUGUUGGUGAUACUGAUUAGAAUUGAGAUGUGGUGGAUGGUUACCAUAUUUGUGUUGCAGGUUAGAUUGCGCGAUAAAGUCAAUCAGUGCAGCAAAGAUGCAGAGGGAAUUUAGUCAAAAAUGAAGAAUUAUAUAGAGAGAAGGAUAAGUUCCAAUUUACAGGCUACGAACCAUGAGUUCAAGGGUUUUAUUCUCGGUUUGAUUUGCCGAAAGAGUUGUCCCUUAAGAUCCUUGAAAAUGUAAAGUUUAGGGGAGGAAAUUUAUUUCGUCGGUUGGUUGAGAAAAGUGAUAGGGAAGAUGGUGUUGCCUUGGGGGGUUCAAGUUGCACGAUUGGUGAUGGGCUGGCAUAUUAUGGAAAAAGUCAAGGUGGGGCAGAGAGAACAAAAAGUAUGAAACCAUAAUGCUACCCAAUGGAAAACUAUGCUUCCAAAGAAUAAUGUUGAUAACUUUGUGUGUCCAUUUGGAUUGAAAUUGGAAUCUCCAGCUGCAGUAAAAUAAUUGUGUGAUGUUGAAAAUAUAUCUGUUACUAAAUUAUUGCGCUAAUCGAACUAUGAUUGAAGCAAUGAGUUUUCAAUGGUCUUUGAGUUGGGUUCAAUUGUUUUUACCAUAUUGUUGCAGAAAAUUUUUGGGGAUGAGAUAAUAGAUUUUAUGGCACUCGGGAAUAGCCCUUCAAGAGAUAAAUCUGAGAUGCCAAUGUGGAUGGCGAGCAAAAAGGCCAAUGCUAAUCGAUCGGGAUGGUUCAGGAUUGGUCCUUAUAUCAUACUUCAUCCUGUGUGUGAUAACGAGAUGAAACUGAUCCGAUACAAGAUAAAUGAAGAUUUGGAUAUCAGGUAAUUAACAAAUGUGAAAUAUAAAAAAAGUAGAUCAACUUUGUCUCCAUAUUAUAUCCAUUAGAUGAUGUUAGUUGUAUGUAUUUGUGGAGGUGCUCUAUCUGUCACGUCGGUUGUGUUGCCGUCCUGUAUUAUGUUGUGAUGAAUAAGUCGGUGCAAAUGUUUAAGUGACUUGAUGUUAACUUUUCUUGCAACGAACCUCUGGUCCAAACAAAAAUGAAUUGCUUGAGCAGGAAUGAAUAUUGUCGUUUUGCCCAAAAAGAUGGGUUAAUGGUCAGGUGAGGGAGGAGAUGUUUCAAAUCUUAUUACCUAGAUUUUAACGUUCACAUAUAAUAACAAUUUCAGUCAAUUAAUUCGAUCUCUCAUUAUAGAUAGUCUCCACUAAGGCUGAGAUUUUGUCCUAUAAAGAGCGGGAAAAAGGCCCUGACAAUCCGCGCUUCUGGUUUCUACCAACUUAUUUUGUUGUAUAUAGUUUGCUUAUUGUUUGUUUAUUUUUUUGGUUGAACAUUCAUUCUAAACUUUUCAUUAUUAACGUGUGGAAAUUUAACUGGCACAUAUCGUGAAUGAAUGCAGCAUUUGGUUUUGGCUCAAGGUAGUGACAUAGCAUGGCUAGGAAAAUGGAAACGCUUAAGGGAGUGCUACAUGCUUAAGGGAGUACCAAUAUGAUGUUAACGACUAACUGUUACGACGAAUUGCAUAGAUAGUUAUUCCGGUCAACCAUGAGCCAUCGCACUGGUAUGUCGUAAUAGUGGAUAUGAAACUUUGUUGUGCAGAGAUAUGGGACCCAAUGUCAAGUCAAUUAAUAAAAAAUUUAAUUUGUGGGGAAGUAAAUACCAUUGUGAGUUAAUAUGGACUACAGUUAACGAAUCAAUUUUCCCUUCUAUUUAUCUUGGUAGUUGUGUGCGACGUGGUGAUUUCCUGUUUGUGUUUCAUUGAACCAAUUAUACUUUCUGAAAUUCAAUUGAGCCAUUGGUGUUAGAAUACAUAUGAGUCAUGUUUACCAUGUAAGUUUUUUCAGUUGCUGGAAUAUAAUAGAGAAAUGCAUUGCAACUAUUUAUAGUGUUGAUAUAAUGUUCGGUAUCCUGAGAUUAUUGGGUUUAUAUGAUUUCAUACAUUGAAAGAUUCAUGUUCGACUUAAAAAAUUGUUUUGGGGACAUGGGUGUAAUGUUUGUUGAACUGUAUAGAUUAUGAUGAACUGGUAUAAACAUCAUAUACAUCGAUUGAAUAUGACAUAUAUUGCAAUCAUGAUAUUUUUUCUUAAGUUUAUUGUUGGGUUUGGAGGUGUAGGUUACGUCAUGUAUUUAAGGGUACAAUAAUGCAAAGGUAUCAUAAAAUAUGCUAAUAUGCCACUCCAACGACAUAUUAUUUGUCGGUGAUUAUGUAUUUCCAGUUGACAGUGCUUGACGAGAUAUUGAAGGAUGACAUAAGAUUGUUAUUCGGUGGUGAUUUCCAGUUUAAGAGAUUUCAAUGCAUAGAGGCAAGAAUGGUUCUCGUUGGACGUUAUGGUUUUAAUUGCGGGCUGGUUGUGAUUCAGUGGAUGGAGAGCAUUGUGAAGGAAGCAGGCGAGGAUUAUACUGUAAGUUUACCAGAUUUCAAUGACCAUACAGUAAGUAAAGAAGUUACCUCAGUUCAAACUUUAACUUAUGAUAAGUUCACAAGGUGUGCAUAGUAAUUCGAUUAAGUCUAACGGAUAUAUGAUUGUUUGAACCUUACCUGGUAACACAUAAUGCCUGUGUUGUCUUGUUUUUUCAACUUCAAAGUACAGAUGAAAAUGAUGAUACUGGAUUGAAUAAUUGUAUUAAAGAAAUUUAUCAUUAUCCUCAGUUUAAUUCGGACGAGGUACAAAAGAACUUGGCCAUUUAGUUGGUAUUUGAUGGGACAAACAUGGUGAAGGACAAAAUAUUGAGGUGAGCGAUCAACUUUCAUAAUAGCAAUGAAACAGAGCAACGGAGGCGGGCAAAAGUGUUAGAGAAGAAGUACCUUUUGGGGGUAGAUAUUCAAAGCAUAAGGGUAAUGGGCAUAGAAAGUAGGAAAUUAGUUCUUGCCUGUGUUCUACAAGUUGUCUUGUAACGUCAAGGUGGCUAUUGAGGUGAAAGGUACUCUAUGUUUGUCAUUAACCGAAGUUGUGUUAUGCAUCGUGAAAUGUUCAUAUUGGUGCACGUCUAUAAACAUACAACGUUGCCAGCAUUUAUCCUUUAUAAUGCAAGUUACAAGGACAACCAGGACAUGCAAUUGAUAUGAAACAGAUUUGGUUGGAACAAAAACUACUUUAUUAUAAUUAUCCGAAGAUUUAGGUUGACAAGCCCGGAAAAUGAAUGACCACAAAUGGCAAUAUAUGCUUUCACCAAAUUAUUGAAGGUGUGAUUAAUUUCAUGCAAAGGUAACUGAUCAGCAAGUACUCUGAUAUUGGAAACAACCAUGAUCAUCAUAUGUCAACGUUUAAAGAAUUACAUUUCUACGAUCCAGAUCAAACUAAAGGGGUACAUAACAACAUCCACCGAUUUUAAUUGUAUAACAUACAAAAUCGGUUAGAACACCUGCAUGGACAACAACAUACUUGACAAUCAAAUAGCACAAACAAGAAGUCUCUACCAUUCACGCUUCUGAAUAGUCAUAUAAUCCUAUAAAAUAUUUUCACAAAUAAGGGAAAAUAAAUGGCCAUGCAUCAGCACAUUGCGAAAUCAUCCCAACAGCCUUGUCUGUUGCGUGUGCUGGCAGUUCGAGAUGAACUUGGAAGUACCACAGACAACCCUAACUAAAUGAAUCGGCCGUCUUGUUUUGAAUGACUGAGUCCUAGUGAAGUGCUGCCAAAUAAAUUAUGUUGAGAAGUUUCACCUACGUAUUUGUUUUACUCCCAUACCUGCAGGAAUCUGAUGCGUUUGAGGGAGCUGGUUUGGACCUGCUGUCUGAUAUAACAUUUGUCCAAUCACAGACAUUUUGGUUUGAUGCUUGGAAGAAGUUUUGGGAUAAGUUGUCCAAAUCGAUUGGACAAUGAGGCGCCUUUUGGGAGUAGGUUCUGAUCGUGUGCCCGGGCUUGCUACAACGACUACAUUCUCUUGCAUUUUGUUGGGUCCUUUUUGGUUGCCUGGGUGCUCUUUUUGUUAGCACUAUAAGAGGGUCUUGAAUCCUGUUAGGUUGUCUGUAAGUUUUUAUUACAUGAUUUGUUACGGUUGAUGGCGCGUGUAUAGAUUGGAGUCGCAUAUUUAACUGGUGAAGAGCCUUUAUAGCCUCGAUGUAUGCUUCUACACUGUUAGAUGCAAAUGUUUGCACGUUCCUGCAGGCAGCAUGCACAACCCGAUCCGUGUGUGUUUGCUGAUGCAGUGGGUGACGGCUAGUUCUGUUACUUGUGGCCGUAUGUUUAAUCUAGCAGUUUUUUUCCCACCGUGAUAGUUGCAUUGAUUCUGGGAUAAAUUGGAUAUCCUCAGCUUUAAAAGCAGUAAAUGCAUGAGAACAAGGUAUGCCCUUACUCUUAAAGAGUUGAGAACCGCAACAUGCAAGCUUUGAGACCAGAUCAAACUCAACAUUCCAUUCUUUAUUAACCUUGCCGAAUUAUCUGAAGCUGUAUGUCUUUGAAUUUAUGCAUGAAAUUACCCAUCUCUUUUUCUCGAUCUCCUUGCGUACUUCCUCAAACAAAUUUUUCGUGGACAUGUUACCUGCUUGUUGCUCAUACUCUCUUAAAUGGGUGGUUAAACUCGACUUGCUGUUUGAACUCUGGUAAUCAUCAUAUGAUUCCAUUUCCCGUUGUCUACCCAUCAACCUCGCCAUUUGAUCAACAAAAUCUGUUAACUAUUGUUUCCUAUUAACAUAUUGGUUAAGGUAGCCAUUGAAUCCCAUACAUCGUUGCGUACUUCUCAUUCCUCUAAAAAAAUGGCCUUUAAGAAUUGCUUAACAUAUGCCCACACCAUGGUUUUGAAACUUGGCGAUUGGUCACGUAUUUCUACGAGGGCUUAAUACCCCAAAGUAGACAAGUUGUUGAAAUGAUGUGUAAUGGUGAAUUUAGGGAUAAAAUUCCUAAGGAUGCACUAGAUUACCUUGACCAAUUAGCUGAAAAUGCACAACAUUGGGAUACUGUUGGAACUUUUGAAAUGACAAAUAAGCAACAACCAUCUCCAUCUAGUGGAGGAAUCCAUAACCUUAGGGAAGAUCAUGAUUUACAACCAAAAUUUGCAUCCCUAGUUAGGAAAGUUGAAGCUUUGGAGCAUAAAAAGAGUGAUCAAGUAAAAUAUGUUCAAGAAAUUGAAUGUAACAUAUGUAGUUCAAAUGAUCAUUUCACUCAAGAUUGUCCCACUCUGUCUACACUUAAAGAAUGUCUAAAUGAUCAAGCUAAUGCCGUUAACACUUUUAAUAAACCAAACCCAUAUUCACAGACUUAUAAUCCUGGUUGGAGAAAUCAUCCAAAUUUCAGUUGGAGGAAUAAUAAUAAUGCACAAUCUUCACAAGCACCACCUCUACAAAAUUUUCAAAAUACGCAGCCUUAUGCAUUAUAUGUUCCACCACCUUGGAAAAAUCUGGAAGACACAAUGCAUUCAUUCAUCAGAAAGCAAGAUGUGUUAUUAACAAUCAAAAUGCACAAACUUUUUCUGAUUUGAAAGAUACUCUUGCUAAAAUUGCUUCUGCACUCACAAUUCAAGAAAAAAGAAAAUUUCCAACCCAACCACAACCAAAUCCUAAGAUUCAACAAAAUCCACCCACAUACCAAGUCAAGUCAGUUAUAACUCUUCGUAAUGGUAAAGUUGUUGAUAGACUUAUGCCUGAACCUUGUGAAAAUGAUGAAAAUUCAAAGGGUAAGGAAGGACUAAAUGAACUUACACCUAACGAAGAAAUAACUAGUGUUCCACCUGAACCACCAUUUCCUCAGGCAUUGAAUAAACGAAUGAAAUCAAACCACUCUUCUGAAAUUUAUGAAAUCUUUAAGCAAGUGAAAGUUAACAUUCCUCUAUUAGAUGCAAUCAAGCAGGUACCUUCAUAUGCCAAAUUUUUAAAAGACUUGUGCACUGUUAAGAGGAAAUUGAAGGUAAAAAAGAAUGCUUUCAUGGCCGAACAGGUAAGUACAAUUCUGUCUACUAAUAAUAAGUUGAAAUAUAAAGAUCCUGGUUGUCCUACUAUUUCUUGUAUUAUUGGUGAUCACAGAAUUGAGCAUACUUUACUAGAUCUUGGUGCUAGUGUUAAUUUGCUUCCAUAUUCAAUUUAUCUUCAACUUAAUCUUGGUGAGUUAAAAUCAACUUCAACUACACUUUUGCUUGUCGAUAGAUUAGUUAAAGUACUAAAAGGAAUAGUGGAAGAUGUUUUAGUACAAGUUGAUAAAUUCAUAUAUCUUGUGGAUUUUAUUGUCUUGAAAACUGAACCUGUUGUGAAUAAUUACAAACCAAUUCCUGUAAUUUUAGGUCGACCAUUUUUAGCAACUGCUAAUGCUUUCAUUAAUUGUAGGAAUGAUUUAAUGAAUUUAUCCUUUGGAAAUAUGACUUUGGAAUUGAAUGUUUUCAACAUGUGCAGGCAACCUAACGAAGAAAAUGAGAAUGAAGAUGAUACUAAUGAACAAAAGGAAUUACUUGAAUCUUGUAUUGGGGAAAAUAUUCAAAAAGGGGAUUUUUCUGAACUCUCUGAUGUUUGUUUAGUUAAUUCAAUUGAGUCAAAUAAGCAGCUUGAAUUUGAUAUUUCUAAUAUAAAUUUGUUGUUUGAUUCUGUGCAGACUUCACAAAAUUAUGAUGACGAGCCAAAAUUUGAGGAGCUUGGAAUUAUUGAAAAAACAGAACAGCCAGAAGCACCUAAAUUGGAGUUGAAACCUUUGCCUAAAGGAUUGAAGUAUGCUUUUCUUAGAGAAGAACAAACUUAUCCUGUUGUGAUUUCUUCUACUUUAAUAAGCGACCAAGAAGGUAAGUUACUAAUUGUUCUUAAAAAGCAUAAAAAUGCAAUUGGAUGGACUUUAAAUGAUAUUAAAGGCAUUAAUCCCUUAAUUUGCACACAUAGAAUUAAUUUGGAAGAAAAUGUUAAAACAUGUCAACAACCUCAAAGAAGAUUAAACCCAGACAUGAAAGAGGUAGUCAAAACAGAAGUCCUUAAAUAACUUGAUAUAGGAAUUAUCUACCCUAUUUCUGAUAGUAAGUGGGUAAGUCCUACACAAGUAGUGCCUAAAAAAUCUGGAAUCACUAUUGUUAAAAACAAAAAAGGUGAAUUAAUUCCAUCACGAAUUACAUCUAGUUGGCGCAUGCGCAUUGAUUAUAGAAAGUUAAAUGAAACCACUAGAAAAUAUCAUUUUCUAUUACCAUUCCUUGGCCAAAUCUUAGAAAGAGUAGUUGGACAUCCCUACUACUGCUUUUUAGAUGGAUAUUCAGGUUAUUAUCAAAUUCCUAUAACACUUGAAGACCAAGAAAAGACCACAUUUACAUGUCCUUUUGGAACAUUUGCAUUUAAAAGAAUGUCAUUUGGGCUUUAUAAUGCUCCUGCAACAUUUCAAAGAUGUAUGUUAAGCAUUUUUUGUGAUAUGGUUGAACAUUGUUUAGAGGUCUUUAUGGAUGAUUGGACUGUAUUUGGGAAUUCUUUUGAUGAUUGUCUUGAUAAUUUGGAGAAAGUUUUAAAAAGAUGGGUUGAAAAAGAACUCGUGUUGAAUUAGGAAAAAUGUCACUACAUGGUUACUUCUGAAAUUGUUUUAGGUCAUGUUGUGUCUGUUAAAGGGAUUGAAGUUGACAAAGCAAAAAUCAAAGUCAUAUCUAAAUUGCCACAACCAAAGACAGUUAGAGAUGUGCAAUCCUUUUUAGGACAUGCAAGAUUUUAUCAAAGGUUUAUAAAAAAUUUUAGUGCCAUAUCUAAACCACUUUGUAACCUCUUAUUAAAGAUCAACCGUUUGAAUGGACUGAUGAUUGCCAAAAAUCUUUUGAGAAAAUAAUUUUUCUUUUAACAUCUGCACCUAUUAUGCAAUCUCCUGAUUGGUCUUUACCCUUUGAAUUAAUGUGUGAUGCAAGUGAUUUUGCUGUUGGUGUUGUUUUAGUACAAAGAAGGGAUGAUAAGCCUUUUGUGAUUUAUUAUGCAAGUAAGACUUUGUAUAGUGCUCAAAUAAAUUAUUCUACAACUGAAAAAUAAUUACUUGCUGUGGUUUUUGCAUUAAAAAAAUUCCAUUCAUAUUUGCUUGGCUCUAAAUCUAUUGUGUUUAUUGACCACGCUGCUGUGAGAUAUUUGAUGAGUAAACAGGAUGCCAAACCGAGACUAAUUCGUUUGAUUUUGUUACUUCAAGAAUUUGACCUUACCAUCAAAGAUAAAAAGGGUGCCGAAAAUGUCGUUGCUGAUCAUUUAUCCAGACUCACAUCCAAAUUGUGCACUAUAUAAUACCCAUCAAUGAUUAUUUUCCUGAUAAAUUUUUAUUUUUUGUUACUUCAAUGCCAUGGUAUGCUAACAUUGUUAAUUUGCUUGUUACAGGUAAAAUGCCUUUUGCAAUGGAAUACUCAAGAGAAAAAGAAAUUUUUGUUGAAGUAAAAAAAUUUUAUUGGGAUGACAUUUAUUUGUUCAAAUAUUGCACAGAUCAAAUUUUUCGGCGAUAUAUUCCUAAUAAUGAGGUAAGUAGUGUCAUUAAUUUUUGUCAUUCUGAAGCAUGCAAUUGACAUUUUUCUUCAAGAAAAACAACUACUAAAAUUUUACAGUGUGAAUUUUAUUGGCCUACCAUAUUCAAAGACACAUGAAUUUUGUAAAACUUGUGAAAAAUGUCAAAAAUUGGGAUCAAUUACUAAAAGAAACAUGAUGCCCUUAAAUUCCAUACUUGAAAUUGAAAUAUUUGACUGUUGGGGAAUUAAUUUCAUGGGUCUGUUUCUAUCAUCUUUUGGAUUUGUAUAUAUAUUAGUUGCAGUUGAUUAUGUCUCAAAAUGGAUUGAAGCAAUUUCCUGUUGAAAUAAUGAUAGCAAAACUGUGGUUAAAUUUUUAAGAGAAAAUAUUUUAAGUCGAUUUCAAAUCCCUCUAGCCAUUAUCAGUGAUGGAGGUAAGCAUUUUUGUAAUAAGUCAUUUGAGUCUUUAAUGAAUAAGUACGGAAUUACAUAUAAAGUUGCUACCCCUUAUCAUCCUCAAAUAAAUAGUCAAGUUGAAUUAGCAAAUAUUGAGAUAAAACAAAUUUUGGAAAAAACGGUUAACCCAAACUGAAAAGAUUGGUCUCUUAAACUUAAUGAUGCACUUUGAGCCUAUCGUAUUGCAUUUAAAAUGUCACCCUAUCGAUUAAUUUAUGGUAAACUUUGUCAUUUACUUGUUGAACUUGAACAUAAAUCACUUUGGGCUAUUAAAGUCUUUAAUUCAAAUUUGGAUGAUGAUGGUAAUGUGAUAAAAUUGCAAUUGAAUGAACUUGAGGAAUUAAGGAAUGAUGCAUAUGAAAAUUCAAGAAUUAUUAAGGCAAGAAAAAAAUCAUUUCAUGAUAAAAGAAUUUUUCGGAAAACAUUUGAGAUUGGUAAAAAAAUGUUGCUUUAUAAUGCUCGUUUUCAUUUAUUUCCAAGGAAGUUAAAGUCAAAAUGGAGUGACCAAUUUUUUGUAAAAAAUAUAUAUUCAUAUGGGGCCAUAGAAAUUGAGAAUUCAAAUAACGGUGUCACAUUUAAAGUUAAUGGUCAAAGAUUAAAACCAUAUAUGGAACAUUACCCACGUGAAGAAGACAUUAAAAUCAAUUUGGGUAACUCACCAAUUCUUGAUUAAGUCAUUAAUGACUGAUUUUUUUUAUUUUACUGUUAUUUUGUCGUUUCAUUGUUUGAUUUUUUUUUCUUUCUCUCUAGAUUGAUGCAUUGUACAUAUUGUUUGUAGCAUUAUUUUUCUUGUUUAAGCGUGUUUGUUUGACAAUUGUACUUUCUCUCAUCAAUUUUCAUUAUACGUCAUGAGUACCUCAAUAAGAAAGAUCUUGUUCACACAUCUUAAAAGACUUUUACGAGUGAGAUUUCAUCUGAGAAGAUUGAUACAAAGCGGUAAAUCACAUCCACUUUGGGAUCUGCAACCACCAGAAUUCGUGUCUUAUGUUAAGGAUCUAGAAAGAUAACUCAGAGCAAUAGAGCGUGGUAUAUAUGAAUUUCAAUUGGAGCUUGAAGUUAACUCAAUCAGAGGACGAAUGUAAGUUUAUUAUUUUUUUCAUUGUGUGUUUCUUUUUGUUCGUUUCACGUUUGAUUUGAUUUUGCAGAUUUGAUAUUGGUGUAUUUUGGUUUAUUUUCCCAUAUAAAUGGCGGAUAACGGUACUUCGUGACUUCUUAAGUCGGUAUCUUCAGUUUCCCACAAUAAUAGAAACCCUAAAAUCAAAUAUAGAAGAAAUACAACAUAAACUGCAUAAGUAUUUUCCCUCUCUCCCUCAGAAUGCCCUCAGGAAAAUUUACAAAGUUUGUUGUGAACGACUGCGUUUGUUAAUGAUCAAUGACAUUCCUUCUGAUAUUCGUUGGUUAAUUAAAGCAAAGGUCCGAUUAGCAGGUGAGUUUUCUGAUCCAUUUAUUUCUUACAUGCCUGGUUUUGGUAAAAGUAUGUUUGCUAAGAAAAGGAGAGCUAAACGACUUGGCUCAAAAUGUCAUAACUGUGUAAGACUUGGUUGCAAACGAGAAGUUUGUAAAUCUUUAGGAAUGGUGUAUGAUACUCGUGAAGAUAAAAUUAAAUUCGUUAAAGAUGGCCUGCGUAAAGAAUCGUUGGGUGAUAUCUUACGACUUCUUGAGACGCAUCGAAGCGGACAUGUGCAAUAUGAGAUACACAGGUUAUGGAGACUAUUCCAAAUAGAAAGUGCACAGUUUAGUCUUGGGAAUUUGACUAAAAAAGACAUUGUUUGCCAAUUUAUAGGAAAAUUGGAUGGGAAGCCUAUCCUCGACCCAUAGAGGGCGUUCAAGCCGUUAUUGGAUGUAAAACGAGAGGAAGAUGUGAGCCACAAUCACAACUACCAGUAAAUAUCCUUUUAUUUUUAUGUUAUUUUAUCAUUUGCAUUAUUGCAUUUAGUGGUGCGCUUUUGUAUUUAAUAAAUUUUUGUUUUCUUUUACUGUUUGCUUUUUCUAAUCACUAUUUUAUUUUUAUUGUUUGCUUUUGAAUUAUUGAGCCACGAGCUCUACUCGUCAUUUGACAAAUAUGCCAACCCAUUUACAGUUGUUUCUCAUUAUUUCUUUCACCAAGAUCUUUAAAUAUGAGCUCGUUUUUCAAACACUCACAACUUGUUUUUGAAAGAUUAGUCCAAUGACAACAUCUUCGAGUAAACAAUUCAAAAAUAUUUGUGUGCCUUCUAGGUUUAACUAUGGAAAGUACAAAGAGUUCGUUCAUGCAGCUAUAGAUCUUGGUCGUGUCAUAGCAGACAGGAAACUACAUCUUGUAUAUAGAGGAGAUGAACGAGGGUUAUCAAGACUUGUCUCACAAGCUGUUUUUACUAAAGGAAGCCAAGUACUAGGUAUUAUCCCAAAAACCAUGAAACCUUUGGUAUGCCUGUCUAGCCCACCAAUUGGAGAAGAAUUAGUAGUAUCAAGUAUGCAAGAGAGAAUAUCUGAAAUGCUAAAUCAUGCUGAUGCUUUUAUUUUCUCGCCAGGAGAUCUUGCAACUUUUGAGGCACUGAUUACAUUUGCAUCUUGAGCCCACUUGAACAUUCAUAAAAAACUCAUCAGUUUGUUAAAUGUUAAUAAUUUUUAUAAUGGCUUGCCAACUUUUAUUAACCAUGCAAUAAAGAAUCAUUUUGUUCCAUACUCUGUAAAAAAACUCUUUAUCUCUGCUUCUACUGCUAAUGAGUUACUUGAUCUUUUACAAGUUUAUACACCAGAAUCAUAUCCCCAAACUUUUGCACUAGAUUGGUCGACUGAUGGUGGUAGCAGUAGCAGUAAUAAGAAGUGCGAAUUAAAUUUAACUCCUCGUCUGUAAAUAUUUUCUGUUGCAGUGUUCAUGUGCUGUCUUCUAAACUCUUUCUCUUUCCUUUUAAAACAUUGAGGACAAUAUCUCUUUCAGGUUGAGGGGAUGGAAUAGUUGAUAAUUGUGGAAUGUCUUAGUCCUGGUGAUGUUUUUACAAAAAAAAAAAAAAUUAUAAAGACUAACUUUAGACUAAAUUUGAGUCGAAGAUAGCUGGACAUGAAGAAUGCAGUACCUCUAGAAACGCAUUUUCUUAAUCUUAAGAGUGUUAUUUUAAAAAAAUUGACUUUUUCUUGUUCUUUGUUAUCCGCUUUUAAGCUUCUCCUCCUCUUCUUCUUUUAUUAUUAUUUUUCUCUUUUAUUAUUAUUUUUUUAUGCAUAUCUGUAAAAUUAUAAAAUGUUUAGAUUAGGUUGGGGGAUGGGGAUAGUUGACGUAUGUUUUUAAAUAUGUGUGUUUGCUUUUCUCUUUUCUCUUUUCUUUUCUUUUAAAAAAACUCAAAAAACAUUUUUGUUUUUGUCUAGAAUGGCUGUGUAAAGAGUCACGACUUUUGAGACGCAUCCUAAUAGUCUUGUUGUAUUAUAUUUUGAUUUUGAAAUUCAUAGUAAAUUAUUUUUUUUUCCUUUUCUUUGAAUUACUCGAAUUUGUGAACUCUCCACUUGGUUAUUAAGUCAUUUAAAUGUUUACUCAUUUAAUAAGUAUUAUUGAAUCAUUCUUCACACACACACUAUGACACAUACUAGUAGGUUGUAAGUUAAAAUUUUGAAGCAUUUAGGUCUUUUGAUUUAUUAGGAAUAAUAUCUAAGGUAGUAGAAAGUGUAUAUUGCAAAAAACAGAAAAAAGAAAAAAAAUGAAAAAGAAAAAAAAGAAAAAAAUGAUUUUUUUAAUUUUGCUAUAUCUAGAACCCGAGUAAUUAAGUCUGUAUGGGUGUUUCAACACCUAGUGCCCUAAGGUCAACUGGUCUGGGUAGAGGUGGCAAAAAUACCCGUCCGGUUUGGACCCGGACCGUACCCGGGCGUUGUGGGCCAGGUAUUACCCGGUCCGGGUAUGAAGUCGGGUCGGUCUUGGGCAUCACUUGAUAAACCCAGAACCCGAAUUUUAUUAAAAAAAUAUUAUAAAAUAUAUAUUAUUUUAAAUAUUUAUAUUUAUUUGACUCAUUUAUUCUACAUAUAUAAAGUUUUAAACACUUAACGUUUAUAUUUUCAUGUCAAAUUUUAUUGAAAUAAAUUUAAAACUUAUAAAAUUACCACAAAAUAAAAAAUAUAUACACAUAUAAUAUUAAAAAAUAUAAAUUUGGGUACCCGGAUUAAAACCCGGCCCAGACCCGGCCCAGGGUUUUGCCAUCCCUAGGUCUAGGAGUCACUGGCCUAAAGCUCGCUACAUGGGUUAUAGAUAUAUUGUUUGCUUAUUUAUUAUAAACCCGAGUAAUUAAGUCCGUAGGGGUGCUUUAACACCUAGUGCCCUAAGGGCAACUGGUCUGAGAGUCACUGACCUAAAACUCGCUACAUGGGUUAAAAAUGUAAUAUUUUAAAAUAUGUGUGAAUAAUCUACUGCCUAAAAAUAGAAUUUCUAAUGAAUUUUGGAACGAAAAUGUUGUUUUUCUUUUAAUGAAGCUCGUAAGUAUUGUGUUAAUUACUUGAGCACAAAAGAAUGUUUGAUGAUAUUCUGGAUAUGAGUGAACGUAGAAAAGGUAAAGAAAUUUGGGAGAGUUCAUUUAUUUAGUAGUUUAGACGAUAAAUGAACAACUAUUAACUUGCAUGUGAAUUUUGUAAAUCUUAAUUUGAUAUAACGCUUUAAUUGCUAGAGGGCUAGCAAUAAGCUGGUUGGGGGAUGAGAUUAGUAUUAAAAAUUGUUAAAUUAUCAAGCGAUAAUAAUGUUAUUUUGUGCUUAUAUUAUAAUUUAUAUUUGUUUUUAUGUAAUAAAUUAGGAGUUGUUAAUUAUGUUUUAAAUAUAUAUAAUUUUGUGUAUUUUUAUGUGUUUAUAGGUAAAAUAUUAAUUUCACGUAAUUCGAGGCUCCAAACAGAUAAAUGGAGGUCAAAUUUAGAUUCUGGAGGUCUGAAAACCUUAAGAUCAGUCAAGAUGGGCUUAAAAUUGGGCUUGUGUGAAAAGAAUUGACUUUUCUUGUUGAUCGAGCACUGAUUGGACGAUGAAAUGAGCUUACAAUAGAUAUGAGUGCAUGGGAUAGUUGGCAGUUUUGACUAAAUCGAAACCGUUCAUAAUUCAAUGGCCAUGAUUGUGCCACGUGGCAAUGGUUGGUGAAGCAAGUUGUAAAAUCCGAAUCUUUCUAUUCGGGUCGACUCGAUCCACCUAUUAACCUGCCAAAUCUUAAUAGUUCUUUGGCCAAAUCGGACGAGUCAAACGAUGCCAUGUGUGAUGUUGACUUUUGAAGUUUGACCAGUCGUUAGAUCUUGAUCUAAUGGUUGUGAUCAAAUCGAACGAGUCAAACAAUGCUAGGAGUGCAUGCAUGAAGCUUAUGAUGGACCGCAAAACACUAGAUUAUGAAUUUAUUUUUUAUAAAUAGAGCCUCAUUUUUAUGUUUUUAAUCAUCUCUCUACAUUUCUCUUCUUCUCAAAUUCUCUCCAUCUCCUUGUAAUCUUGAUUUUCAGGUGUGUUUUUAAUAUUUUGUAUAAUUAUUUUUAUAAAUAAAUUUAGUUUUAUUUUCAAUUUUAGUGUUUUUAUUACUUUUAAUUAUAAGUAAUUUAAUUUUAAUAUUUCUUUUUAUUUCAAUUAUGCUUAACUAAAUUAUAUUAGUAAGGGUAAGGUGAAACUCUUAGGAAAUAAAUAUGAUUUAAUCAAAUUCUAUUUUUAAUUUUAUAAAUUAAAUUAUUUUCUAUUUAAUUUUAUACAUAUUUUAUAUUUUGAAAUUUUGAUUUAUUGUAGACAAACAAAGAGAUUUUGGCAUAAUAAAUUCUUAAUAUCUUAAUAUAAGGUAUGAAAAAAUGGUAUUUUGACUUAUUGUAGACAAAUUAAAUUUUGGCAUAAUAAAUAUUUAAUCAAUCAUAAAAUUAAAGAGAAAAUAAUAAUAAUUUAUAUAAUUAAUCUUUUGGGCAAUAAAUCUAAAAAAAUGGCAAAAGGAAUUUAUUAAGUUUUAUUUACUACUAAGAGUGGAUCCACAACCCUAACUAGUUCAAUUUCAUAAUUUCAUUUAAAUUAAGUUAUUUAUAUUCAAGUUUUAAUUUCAAUUUUUAGAUAAAAUAAAAUAAACAAAUUAAAUCUUUUCUCUGUGGAUCGACCUCGGACCAUAAUAUAACAAGACACUCUUAUACUUGGGAGUUAAAAAUUACUUUUAAGUUCUAUCAAAUCUAACUAUGAAUUAAGACAAACCAAAAGCAGCUUUAUUCAUAUAUUAAACAAAUAAUAUAUAUCUGAAUAAAUUGUAUCACUCUAAUACAUAAAUAUCAAGAAUGAUUUCAUACGAUAUUCUUAUAUAUUAAUAUGAGAUGGCUCUGAUACCAAUUGUUGGAGAAAAAUCUAUUUUUUUAAUUUUUAUAAAAACUUUUAGGACCGAUCUCAUACAAUAUAUAGGAAUACGUAAUCUAGAAAAUCAUACCUUGAUAAUUUAAUUUGGCUUUUUCGCUGAAUUAGUUUAGGCUCCCAGAUCACGAUUCGUCACCACCACGCCUGUUAGAUCACGAUCCGUCACCAUCACGUUGGUUAGAUCACGAUUCGUCAUCAAAUAAUCUUUCAUGUUAUGACUCAACUUUGAUCUACACUUGACGUGUGUGUGCAUUUUUCACUACUAGAAGCAACUAGCUAGAGAAAAUAUUUCUCUCACAAUUAGCGAGAAAAAAUCUUUUUCUCUAAUCUUUAUAAUGUAGCCUCUAUCUUUUUUCGGGAGAAAAAAAGCCCUUUUAUAUCUUUAUCUAGUGGAAACCCUAGGCUCUAUAAUAAAAACCAAAAGUCAAGUUACUUGCUUUUUCUAUAGGGUGUCCACCUUAUAAAAUAACAUAAAGCCUCUUACACACAAGCAUAUUAAAUGGAGUCUCCCACUAAAUGAUAUAUUUAGGCUUUUGACCCAAAUAACUAGUUAUCUUACUUAUUAAUCCAAUAGUGGUGCAGUCAAUUAAAUGAGCUAAUCCGGGGAUCAUUUGGCAACAUAUAAUAGUGGCUACAAUAAUUAGGUCUGUAAUUAAACUAGCCAAAUUAUUUAAUUCUAAAUCUACUCCACUAAAAUAUUAGAAUUUGCCUCCAUAAUUGUAUGCUAUCUAGGAUAGUGUUCUCGAAUAAUAAUUCAACUCAUGUCACAUUAAUUUCUUUACUACAUAAUCUUUUGUACCACAUCGUUAAUUAAAUCGAUAUCUCAACUGUCCAAUCGAUUUAAUUACAUCUUGUUCCUUAAUAAUUACUAAUUUUCUCUAAUGAUAAUUUUUAUCAUACUAAAUAUAUUGACACACUACGACAAGAGAAUUCUGUGAUCAAGUUCCUUUUCUUAAAUAUGUUGGCAGAUAAUCCCAACAUGAACAAUAUGAAGUCAUCAUGUACGUGUGCAGGACUUUCUUGGCCAUCUCAAUUGUAUUCGAAAGUCUUGCUUUCUUUUGCCUUUUUUUUUUUAAAUUAAGAAAAGAGCAAACCGUCCAAUACGAGCAAACUACUUCUUGGAAGAGGGGACCUGUUAAUUAUUUUGCAGAGCACCUUUUUUUUUAAAAAAAAAAAAAACCAUCCAAUCCGAGCAGACUUCUUCUUGGAGGAGGGGGACAUGAUUAUUUUGCAGAGUACCUAAUAUUUUGCAUUUCAAAUAUGCUGUUGAAAAUCUUCUAUAAAUUGACAAGACAUAAAACCAAAGAAGCUAAAGAUUCAAGAUUUCUGUAGCAGGAUUGUGAGGGAGAAGGAUGGUGAGUGGGUGACCCACAAGGGUAAAACGCUACAAGCAGAGAAGGAAUCAUCAAGGAAAGUGGCCGGCCAGGCGGUGUCUUAAACUUUCUUUGGUAACAGGUAAAACAUCCGACCCCUUGCUUUUGUGUUAAAAGUUGGGAAAGGGCAAGAAAAAUACGCAUGUUAAGGAUGAUGACUCGAUCUAAAAAUUUAUCAAUCCAAAAUUAAAGUUCGGAAUGAAUUUAACGUCAUAAAUUAAUUUUUACAACAGUAUAUAUUGAUUUACAAUAUUGUAAAUCUGUCCUAAAUUUUAAUUCUGAAUUUGAUAAACACUCUCUUUAAUGAUUAAACAAUAUGCUAAGUACAUUUUUGAAUUCUCUCAUACCUUUUUUCUAAAAUAAAAAAAUUAAGGAGUACCACAAAAAUUUUGAUGAAAAUUCAUCCUAAUUGCUUGCAAAGAUGUAAAAUCAUGGAUGAUGGGUAACUCGUUUUUUCAAAGCCAAUCUCUGUAAAAGAAUUCCUAAGAUUUUGAUUAUUAACCGAACUAGACACUAUGAAUUAAUUAACGACAAAUAAAUGGAUCAUUCUAUGAUGCGCUGAUUAAAAUGACAGCAUCAAUACCCUAUUUAAACGUGAUUUAUGUAAAUGAAAUAUAAAACAUAUAAAUUUAAUAUAAUAUUUAUAAAUCAACAUUAAAUGUAAAAUAAAAUAUAAAUACGUAAAUUUAAUAUAACCCAUGAAACCGACCCAACCCGUAUGAUUUUUUUGAGGGUUGGGUUAGGUUGAAAAUUUUUAACCCAACCCAACUCGUCAACCCGUAUAGGUAAAAAAUUUAAAAAAAAUUAAAAAUUAAAAAAUAAAUAUAAAACGCAUCUCAACAACUUUCUCAAUUAUAGAACCCUAAACUCAAAAUCUCUUGUUUAAAAAACAGCUGCUCGUCUGCUCGCGCAUAGAACACAACAUCACAACUCACAAGCUUUCUUGAAAAGCUGCCUAGCUGCACAUCGUCUCAUGCAUAGGUUCUUUCUUCUUUCUAAUUUACUGAUUUAUUAUUGUUUUGAAACAAGCUGAUCAAUUUUUUUUGUUAAAAGGUCUAGUCCAUUUGAUUUGGUGCUUUAUAAUAUUUUGUAUUGAUAAAAGUUGGUCAAUUUUUUGUUGUUAUGAUGGUGUCAAGCUCAAUCGAAUUAACAUGAAUAUAAUAAUUAUUAUUAUUACUAUCUUUGGGAAAAGACUUUUCGACAAACAUCUGCUGGUUAUUGUUCUGCAGCAAUAUUUUCAGUAUUAAUAAGUCAUGCUCUUUUUUUCUCUUAUUCAUUGGUCUCACUCUUUAGACUUUGAUGUUUUGUAUUAAACAAGACUUUAAAUUUAUGUUUCAUUAGUUAUGUACUAAUAAUUUGAUUGUUAAACUUUGAAAUGUUGAAUUUGUUGUAAGGAUUUUAGUAUUUGUGUUUUUUUUAAUUUUCAAUUAAUUAAUUAAUUUUUGUUAAGACCAUAAAAAUGAGCUUUUUCAAAAGUCCAACCCAACUCGACCCAACCCACAAUUCUGUGAGUUGGGUCGGAUUGGGUUGAAAAAUGUAAUGGGUCGGGUUGGGUUGAAUAUUUUCAACCCGUUCUAUAUGCGGGUUGGGUUGGGUUGGGUUGAUAAUAACCCGACCCAAUCCGACCCGUGCCCAGCCCUAAACUACAUCAUCAAAAUCUCUCUAAAUUGGUAUAAUUUAGUCGGUAGUCAAGGACCUAAAUGAUUAAAAUGCAAUCAUUGAGAACUUAAGUUAGGCAAUUUUGAAAAGGACCCUAAAAAAUAGAAGGAUAAUGAUAUUUCAACAUCACAAGUUUUGUUAACCCACUUCACUUAAGAAAUAAUUACAAUAAGUUCACAUUAUUUUUAAAAAACUUAAAUAAAGAAAAAUUUAAAAAUUUAAUUAAAUAAAAUUAAAUAAAAUUAAAUACCUAAACUACUAGAUACAAAAGCUCGUAUUUUUGGGAUAAUUUGGUUAUUUUACAUUAUAAGGUUAAAAUAGUUAUAAAAAAAAAAAACUUAUCUUAAAGUGGUUGUAAUAAUCAAAGAUCAUAUUUUAAAAAAUUUUAAAUCCUUAAUUGUCUUAAUUUUUUGUUAAUUUGUAUAUUUGAAAAAUAAUGUAAACUUGUUAUAAUUAUUUAAUUUUUAAAACUGAGAUGGAUUUAUAAAAAUAAUGAGAUGAAGAUAUCCACACCCAAAAUAUAAUAACAAUUUGUCAAUUUUCAUUUUUCUCUUUUGUUUUCUAAUUUUUGUUAUUUUUUUAGUUCUUUUGUUUUGUUAUGCUUAUUUAGAAUAUUUUGCUUUCAUUGCCAUGUUUUGCCGUCGUUCUUUUGUGUGUUUAUUGUAGUAUUUUUUUUUCCCAAAAAUAAUGAUGGUUUAAUAAAGUUACUAAGUUUACGUUUAAGUUUUUAAGUUAUGAUUUGGUGAUAGGUUUGUGUUGUAUUUACAGGACACUAUGUCAAGUUUGUUUUUUUCCUUUCUUGAUUCAAAUGUGGUCCUCACUUAAAAUAACUUAGGUGGAUAAACUAUAGCAUACUGAAAAAAAUUCUUCAAAUUUCUUAUCAUAUCUUAGUAUGCGCCAUGCGGAGCCAUUCCUUUUUUAUUUUUCGUUGGGUCAUAGUAAUUGUAGUUGCUUUGUUAAGUUGUUAGCCAUUGAACUAAUCAAGAUUGGGAGUCUUUGGGUUCUUCUAAACAAAAAAAAAAAAGGUGUUGUAUUUAAUUUAACCCAUAUGACUUACUUGCCAUACUUGGGCCUUGUUUUGUGUGUAUAUAUAUAUAUAGAUAGAUAGAAUAACUUUGCUCCUUUUUAAUGCAAUUUAUUAUUAUUCUUCUACAUUUUACAAAUAUAUAUAUCACUCAUCACUCGUUCACGGAGCAUCAAACACGAUCCACUACUUCUGUACACUCUCGCUAUUUCCACCUUAACGCCGUUGGGAAACAUCACUAUCACUAUGUGCAGAAAUUAAGUCGAGCCACAGAGGUAGAAUGACGUGUCAAUAACGACGUGUUAAAACUUUUUGUUAACAGAACACUCUAUAUAUAUAUAUAUAUAUAUAUAUAUAUAUAUAUAUAUAUCCCUUUCAUUUCUGCUAUCCUGGUGUUACUCGUCUAAAUUUCAUUUUCAAAUAGUAUUACUACCCACUGACUGUUCGCGGACCAAAUUGAUACAGAUAUAGCUCUCAACCUCUGUUUCUCGUGUGUGUGAAUCAGAAAUGGACAGUCUCACGGGCAUCGGAUUCCGGCCAUUGGAUGAAGAAAUCAUUGAUCUCCUGAAGAAGAAGAGGCUUGACCCUGGUUUCUCUGUCCAAACGAUCAAGGAAAUUGAUUUUUAUAGCUUUGACCCCUGGGACCUAGCCGGUAAGUAUCACGCCCAACAAGCACUAUGCGAUGUAAUUGGAGUUAGUUCAGUAGCUAAUAUCUUGGGUUAAUUUCAGUAGCUAAUAUCUUGGGUUAAUGAAUUUUUGUCAUGCAGGGCUUUAUGAGUUUCAGUCUAUGGAAGAUGUGUGGUACUUUUUCUCUAAGCCUAAGUACAGGGGUGCCAAGCGGAAUCGGUAAGUGUUAGAGUGCAAUUUAUGCACUAGUUUUGUAUUGUUUACUUCUUUUAAUAUCGAUAUUUUGCACUUAAUAAUAGUGAUUUACUUGUGUUUUAUUUUUGUAGGUGCAAUUCUAUUGAUUGGUGCUAAAAUUGAGCUACAAGAUGAUGUUUGAGAAUGAUUGUUUUCCGGGAGAAAUUAUGAGCUUCAGAAGAACUUUGUUGAUAAGCCGUGGGCGCGUGCUGUCAACUAAGGACCUGCAGUUUUUAUUUUAACGUGUUUUAUCUUUUUUGUUAUUUUUGUAAUUUUGAAUUUAAUAUUUAGAUAAUAUUUUAGAUAUUAGUAAUUUAUUUUUGGAGAAACUCUAUAAGAGGAAAGAGACGUGAAAAACACGAGGAGGGGAUUUUUUUUGAAGAGAGAAGAAGAAGAAACCCCAAAAAAAAUUUUCUCUUCUCUCUAUGAAGAACUAAACCUAUUAUUCUGGUUGAAGGUUAAUAAAGUUUUGAUUCAUCAUUACUGUGAGAUCUUUCUUAUGCUUUAAUUGUUUAAUUGCUUUUUGGGUAUUUGUUUAUUCUCUAAAUUAUUGUCAUGAUUAUGUUUGUUAAUUAGAUAAUUGGCCACUAUUUAAUUAUCAACUUAAUCGAUUGUCAAUUAAAAGAUUCAUCGUAUAAAGAUUUUAAUGUUUGUGACAAAUAGCAUAGCAGUGCGUUGUGUUAUAAGAAUAAACAAUCUAACUUAAAUGAACCAUCAUAUGCGUUUGUUGAUUAUGAUUUGAGUCUCUCUGAUUUUUCAGGCCGUCAAUUGAUUAAAUCAUAUGAUCGUAUCUAGAGUUGUCUAUUGAUUAGGGAAAUAACCAACGGUCGUACCUUGGUUAUCGACUAGUUAAGGAGAGAUUGGCUAUUAGAGGGUCUCGGUUGCUAUAACCGGUCUAUUCAUAAGUAGUAAUGAUUUAUAUUUGAAUCAAUGAUUAGUAGUCGAAUCAAGCUGAGUUAAUUCCUUCAACCAGAGCUUUUCCCAAUUUGAAUUACAAUUUUAAUUUGCAUUCUUGUUAUUUUAAUUUGAUUUUUAUUAUUGUCAACAAUCCCCUCAUUUUGCAUUUUACAUUUUAAAAGGAUUUAAAUAAUUACCGAUCUCUGUGGACACGACCCUGCUCAAUCACUAUACACAAUUUAUUUAGAGUAUGUAUUUAUUUUUGCUGGCUUUGACAACCAUCAGUCAGGACAACAACAGCAUAGAAAAACCAAGUCAGGAACCUGGAAAAAGACUGACAGUAGUUCUGAGAUGAAGCGGAAAAACAGUACUGAGGUGAUUGGUAACAAAGACUAUCUUGUUUUUAUUCACGAUGAUGCUACUUCCGAGAAAGCUAACACGAAGUGGCUUAUGCACGAGAUAGCUAUUGCGGAUGACCCUCUCUAUAAGGUGCGAGCUUUGUUUAGAAUAAAUUGGACAUGUUUUGCAAAUACUAGAAAGUUCGAAUUUAGGAUCCUAUUGAGCUAUGUGGUUUAAUAGUUUAGUGAAAACAUAAUUAAGAGUACAAUAGUCAAUAAUGUGAACUUAUUCUAUUCCCGCUUUUUAUUUGUGUAGGAAAACUUUGUCGUGUGCGCCUAGAAGGAAAAAAUUAUGAUAAAAAGCUUGGUGUUUCAACUACUCAUAAACAUCAAUCAAGUCAAGAUUUUGCUUCUAGUUCUAGCAUCAAUGUUGUGGAAGAUAUUUCUCUAGAAUCUGCUCAACCAUCAGAUCGACAUUUGGUUUCUAAAACAAAUCAAGUUGUAGAAAAUAUAUUUUUGAAGAAUCUGCUAUAAAGAGAACAAUUGAGAGAUGGAAAAAUGGACACGCACACUUUUUAUUCGAUGAGAUGAGAGUAUUUAUAUACAGUCAUUGGAGCUACUUACAGCAAGUAUAAAUUUAUGCCUAGAGUGUUGGAGAAACAAUUAUAAUAAUUGAUACAAUCACAAUCCUAAAUUGAUGGCAUUGCAUUUGACUUGACUUAAACCGUGGGAUGAGAAUCUGGAGAAUCAUUUGAUUUGGCUUGAUUUUCGGGAUGAGAAUCUGGAGAAUAAUGUGCUGGUUUUGGAGAAGAAUGUGUUGGUCUAUUAUGCCCCCGCAAGAUGGUACUCCCAUUGGAGAUACCAAUCUUAUUUCGAAGUGUUGUAAAGAGUUUUCGAGAUAGCGGUUUGGUGAGAAUAUCCGCAAGCUGAUCCUUUGUAGAGAUAUAAGAGACACCAAAGUUACCUUUAGUGACAUGAUCACGAACAAAAUGAUAGUCUAUUGCUAUGUGCUUCAUUUUGGAAUGAAAAACAGGAUUGACUGAAAGAUAUGUAGCGCCAAUAUUAUCGCAAUAAAUGGUAAGGCAGCGAGAGAGAGAGACACUGAGUUCACCAAGUAAACUUUUUAGCCAAAGAACUUCUGCAGCAGUAGAUGCAAGAGCACGGUACUCAGCCUCUAUUGAAGAUCGAGCAACUGAUUUUUAUUUGCAGGAACACCAAGAAAUUGCAUUACCUCCAAAUUAGAUUAUGUAAGUUGUAGUGGAGGUUCGAUCAUCUUUGUUACCAGCCCAGUCCGCAUCAGAAAAAGCGCUGAGAUGUAAAGGUUGAUUGUGCUUAAGGAAGAGCCCAUGAUGAAUGGUAUGCUUUAGAUAUCGAAGGAGCCGCUUGACUGUAGACCAAUGAGUUUCUGUAGGUUGAUGCAUGAACUGAGCAAGUUUAUUUACUGUAAAGGAAAUAUCCGGACGUGUAAGCGCAAAAUAUUGGAGUCUACCAAUGACUUGUCGAUAUUGAGUAGCAUCCGAUAAUGGAGAGCCAUUAUUUAGACAAAGUGGUUGAGCUGUGGAUAAAGGUGUGGUGACUUCUUUGGCACCGGCCAAAUUUGUCUUAGUGAGCAAAUCACGGAUGUACUUAUGUUGUGUGAGAAACAACCCCAUGGUAGUGGGAAUCACUUCAACAUCAAGAAAAUAGUGAAGGUCUCCUAGGUCUUUGAUGGAGAAUCGAACGGAAAGAGCAUGGAGAAAUUGACUGAUGAAGGAUCUACUAUUACCUAUGACAACAAGAUCAUCCACAUAUACUAGAAAGUAUACAAUGACAUUAGUGCUCUUAUAAAUAAAAAGAGAAGUAUCAGAUUGUGAAUUCUCAAAACCAUAAGAGAGCAGAAAAUUUUUCAGUUCAUUGUACCAAGCACGUGGUGCUUGUUUGAGUCCAUAGAUUGCUUUUUGGAGCUUGCAUACAUGAGAUGGAUAAGUGGAGUCAACGAAACCAAGAGGUUGCUGCAUAAACACCUCCUCGCCAAGAGUGCCAUGCAAAAAAGCGUUAUUAACAUCCAAUUGUCGAAUUUUCCACCCAUAAGAUAAGGCAAGACUCAAAAUUAAGCGAAUUGUAGUUGGCUUAAUUACAGGACUGAAGGUUUCUUGAAAGUCCAAACCAGGCCUUUGAUGGAACCCUUUGGCAACAAGACGAGCUUUAUAACGGGCAAUGGUACCAUCGGGAUUGCGUUUAAUACGAAACACCCACUUACAUCCGAUAAUAUUUCGAGAAUCUGUGGCAGGUACAAGGACCCAAGUCCCAUUUUUUAACAGAGCAUUGAUUUCAUCACUCAUAGCAACACGCCACCGAGGAUCUUUAAGGGCUUGAGAAGAACAAGUUGGCUCAAUAGGUUCAGGUAGAGAAUGCUUGGUGGUGGUGUGAUGAAGUUGUUUAGGCUUAAAGAUAUUAUGUUGUGAUCUGGUCACCAUAGGAUGUGUAUGAAUUGGCUAUUGGGAAAGAGAUUGUGGAGGCGUAGGUGGCAAGGGAACAAGAGGUGAUGGACAAGGUAAUUGUGAAGGGGAAACAGUACCUAAUUCAUUGUCAGUAGAAGCAGUAGAUGUCGAUGUUGUGGUAGCACUGUGAGAACCGGAGACUAUAAAAGAAUUUGUUGAAGGAGAAGAUGGGGUAUGAUUAUUAACAUUACAUCUAAUAGUAGAAUAAAGGGGGAAUAAUGUGGCUAGUGAAGAGGAGGGAGAGGACCAUGUAAGAAUAAGAGAUGAUAGGGCCGUAGAAAGUAGUUAGGAUUUAUAAUGAAAUGGAAAUUCAUGUUUAAUGAAUUGAACAUGACGAGAGAUAAAGAGCUUUUUAGAAGCCAUGUCAUAGCACUUAUAUGCACUUUGAUUGCUGGAGAAACCAAGAAAGAUACAUGGGGUUGAUUUGGGUUCUAAUUUAUUUUUAGUGUAAGGUUUAAGCCAAGGAAAACAUAGGCACCCAAAAGUACGUAAUUUAUUAUAGUUAGGCUUCAUAUGUAAAAGACAUUCAAAUGGAGAUUUGUAGCCAAAAAUUUGUGUAGGUAGUCGAUUAAUUAAAUAAGUGGCCGUUUGGAAGGCAUAAGGCUAAAAAGAUAAAGGAAGAGAGGCACUAUGGAGAAGGGUCAGCCCAGUUUCAACAACAUGUUUGUGUCUCCUUUCAGCAGAACCAUUAUGUUCGAGGGUGUGGGGAGGGGUUUUAAGGUGUUGAAUGCCAUGAGUGUCAAAGAAAGAUUUUAAUGCGACGUAUUCUCCUCCACCAUCAUAAUACACAAUAACUAUGGAGGUUUUAAAGAAAUUUUCAACAAUAGACUUAAAGCGAAUAAAAAUUGAAGCAACAUCAUACUUUUUAUGCAAUGGAUAAAGCCAAAUAUAUUUUGUAAAAUGAUCCACAAAAAUUACAUAAUAGCUAAAUCCAUCAGUUGACAAGACAGGAGAAGGACCCCAAAUAUCUGUGUAGACAAGAUCAAGAGGUUUUCGACUCUGUAACGAAGAAGUUCCGAAUGGUAAAUGAUGACUUUUAUUACAGUGACACGACACACAAUGAAAAUCAGGAGAUAAUUUUGACGACAAGGACAAUAAAAUUUGAACUAGCUAAAUAACUGGUGAUUUUAUUGGAUGGGUGACCAAGUCUGUUGUGCCAAACUUGAGAAGAUGCCUUUAUUCCAGUACAAGCUAAAGGAGUUGACGAAGAAGACAAGAUAGUUGAGUUCACAGUGCUAGGCCAUUCAUAAACAUCAUGCUUGUUCUGACCCUGAAGUAGAUGUGCCCCCGUGCGUAAAUCCUUCACAAUAAAAGAAUUAGAAAAGAAUUCAACUGAAGUUUGGUUAGUUUUACAUAACUUUGAAACUGAAAUUAAAUUCUUGUGCAUAGAUGGAGCACAUAAGACAUUGGAAAGUGAAAAAGUAUUAGAGCAAGCAGGUAAGGUAGUAGAACCAGCGUGGGAGAUUGACAGACCUGAACCAUCACCGAUCAUAAUGUUAUCAGGGCCUUAAUAGUUUUGAUGGUGAGAUAGAUUUGCGAUAUCUGAAGUGACAUGAUGAGAAGCUACUGAAUCCAUGAGCCAAUUGCCAUUAUAUCGGUUGUAUGAUUUGCCGUUGGAGCUCGGCGCAGGUGAGGGAAAAGAGUAUAACAUCUCCGUGCUCCAUGGCCCUGUUUGAGACAAUACUGACAAAUGACUGGAGUUUGGCUACUCGUAUUUGGUGGUGGCUGUUGACGAGGAUCAAUUUGAUUUGGAUUUGGAGGGAAUGGAAGGAGGCCACGAAUUUGUUGAGUUGAGUUUGGUGGGUGUUAGACCUUGAUCGAAAUUAAAUAAACCAAGACUCCCCAAGAUUUAUCUAAACACUCUGAUGUUUGACUAAAAAACACUUACGUAAUCGCAAAAGAAAACAAAGAUGAAUCUAAAACCAGCAACCAAAAGAGAAACAAACUUAAGUGGUUCAGCCUGAAGAUGGCUUACAUCCACUGAAAAACAAAGCAACAAUCUUUAUUCUAUCACCAGGAAUAAGCUACAAGUUUAUAGAUGAAGUUACAAGCAUCACACACACCGAUCUCGUUUCUCCUAAGGCUAUAUAUACACACUCAAGAGACCCCAGAAAGUUCCCAUGUCAGUCAGCUUCCUUCUGUCACCAUAAACCCUGAUUUUUCUCGCUCUUGUAACAGAACAUAACAACCUCUGAGGCACGUGUUUGCUUUAUGUUAAAUGAAGGCUCCAAAACGGCACUUAGCGAAGUCGUAUUGUUAAGUGUAAGCAUGUGAUGGCCACGUGCUUCACUUACUUACAGAUAGAUGAACAAAUAACUUUGUCAUACAACUUUGAAUUACCUCAACCGACUAGUCGUAUUCUAUUCCAAUCACGAACUGACAUGACGUAUGAGAUUCUGGAAAUCAGUUUCAGAGCUCACACUCCAACAUUCUCCACCUUGUGCUUGAAACCCUCAUGAACCUGCUACCUUUCUUUCUAACUACCUGUCACUUAUUUUUGACAGAUUCCUGCUAAUUCUAAACAAAGCUUGAAAUUAGCAGUUGUCACUGGUUUAGUUAGCAUAUCUGCAACAUUCUUGUCUGUAUGGAUCUUCUGCAGCUUCACUGUUGCUUUUAACACUUCCAACCUUAUGAAAUGCAGCUUGAUAUCGAUAUGCUUGGUCCUCUCAUGGUGUGUUUGAUUUUUGCUCAAACAUAUAGCACUUUGGCUAUCACAGUUUAUCAUUAUUGAGCUUUCCAAUUGACAGUACAGUUAUUGAAUAUGAAAAGGUACCCUGUAAGAGAUCUUCCUCUGUCCAGAUCCCCAACAUAAUCAGAGUCCACAUAACCAACAAUCUGACUGUCAUCUUGUCUUUGUCCUCCAUACAUUAACCCAUAUGUUACUGUCCCAUUUAGAUACCUGAGAAUCCAUUUUACAGCCCUCCAGUGUUCCUUCCCAGGGUUUGACAUAUACCUGCUUACAACACUCACAACAUAGGAUAGGUCAGGCCUAGUUAGGACCAUAGCAUACAUCAGGCAGCCUACAGCACUUGCGUAAGGUACAUUCAUGAUCUCAGAUAUUUCAGCUUCUGCUUUUGGGCCCAACUGAUCUGAUAAUCUGAAAUGAGGUGCUAAGGGUGUUUGAACUGGCUUUGAGUUUGCCAUUCCAAACUUAUCAAGUACCCUUCUGAUAUAUUCUUCCUGACUAAGAAACAAAGUUCCAGCUUUUUUGUUCCUGUGUAACUGCAUCCCCAGAAUUUUCUUUGCUGGACCAAGAUCCUUCAUAUCAAACUCUCCCUUAAGCUUCUGUUUCAGGUCUUCAAUUAAGCUCAUGCUCACACUGGCAAUAAGCAUAUCAUCUACAUACAAUAUCAGGUAAACCAUCAUCCCUGAAUCCUCUUUGAAGUAAACACAGCACUCUAAGUUACACCUCUGAUAUUUAUGCUUUAACAUAAAGCUGUCAAAUCUGAGGUACCAUUGCCUUGGAGACUGUUUGAGUCCAUACAAAGACUUCUUCAAAUGACAAACCCAGUCAGCCUUUGAUUCUUCUAUAAAGCCUUUAGGUUGUGCCAUUACAUUAUGCUCUUGUAAUUCCUCAUGUAAAAAUGUUGUUUUUACAUCCAUUGUUCUAAAUGCAUGUUGUUUACAUCCACCAGUGACAAGAUGAUUCUAAUAGAGGCAUGCCUCACUACAUGUGAAAAUACCUCAGUAAAGUCAAUGCCCUCCUUUUCACUUACCACCAACACGCGUCCACCACUAGUCCAUUAGCGUUUGUGUAAGUAAUGAAUUUGGGUCCUGCUAACUUAGAGCUUAUGUAAGUUACAUUAAUAACAAAUUGAUACUUGCCUUUAUUAUAAAUGUUUCUUUUAUUCAAAUAUCCAUUUAUUUCUUCAAUCAAGUCCUCAUGCCUUUGAUUAUUAAUUCUGAACUGCUGGAUGAUUUCUUGUCCAUCUCUUCUAUAUUUAUUCUUAAAACUUUUUAAAGUUUUUGCUAUACUUUUAUAAAGGUCUAAAUGAUUAUUAUAUUUAUAAAGAUAUAUAAAUUCUGAAUAUAUAUUAACACUUGCAUUUACAAUUCCUCGUCUCUCUUGAGAAAUAAACCAAUUUUUUUCUUCUAACAGCUAUAUAUAUUUCGAAUCUAUUUUUCCAUCCAAGGUACUCACCAUCAUCUAUAUUCUCAUCUCUCACCACUCUCAUCUUCAAACUUUCUUUACAAAACUUUCAAUUAUGAAAUAAAUAAAACUCUUUUUUAGUGAAAUUAUCAUCCUCUAUGCAUCUUAUUUUGAUUUUAGCAAUAUAUCAAGAAAUAUCUCAUAAUACUUGUGUUAAAAGAAGAAGAUUUCAUUCUACUAAGCACUUUUCCUAAGAUGAUUGUUAGAAAGUCAUUCGAAUAGUUCCUAUUAGACUAGUUUGCAGUGUGUUAUGUUGGGCUGUGUGGAACAAUUGUUGAGGUGUUUUGUAAGACAUGGAAGUAUGGCGAUGCCAACCAUGAACCAAUUUAUGGCUAGAGAGAACUAGAGAAUCUAUUCAAGAAUUUCGAGGCUAGUACACUAAUUAGUACUUCGAAUUAUUUUCUUAUAUUUUUUCACAAACAAAAGCAUGUCGAGCCUCGAUUAUUUUCUAAAAUUUAUAAGAUGUGAGGAGAUAAUAGUAACUCACUUUUAUAAAAGUGGAACGAUCAUUCAAUAAGUUUUUAGAUGCAAUUGAUAACCUGGAUUUUAUUCAAGAAAUCUGAUGAUACUUUAAAAGAGACUAAUUUGAAACCGGUGGAUGCAUCCAAUCCUGAACAAAUUGAUCGAGCUAAGGAUGUGCCUCUUCUAGUUAAGUCUAAUCCGAAUAAGGAUGUUGCUCCCCCUGCAAAUCUAAUCCAGAUUGGAAUGUAAAAUUUUAGUGAUAAUUUAAAACAUAAAUUAGGUAAAUUUUAAUUUACCCUCUAUUGAGAAUGAUAAUCUUCAAUAUAUCUCCCAUUAUGAAAAUAUUAAUUUACUCUUAUUUAUUAUUAAGUAGAUAAAAGAAAAUAAUCAAUGCACCCUCAUUUACCAUUGUCUUCCAAAUAAAAAUGAGUAAAUUAAUAUUUUUAUAUUCUUAAAGAGUACACUAACCAUUGUUAUUUUAUUUAGGCGAUGAGUAAAAGUUUAUCUUAUAAAUCAUAUUAUGUGUGUAACAAAAUAGACACAAAUCCUACAGCAAACAUUUGUAUAGAACUCAUGAAAAUGUUGGAUCAAGCUACGGUGCAACAGGUGCACCAUACCUCUCUUUUUGUCUUUUUGUGCUAUCACCAUUAGAUCAAUACAAAAGUAGUUUCAAGGGUGUGGAUGUGUUUAUUUGGUUAUUAAUAAUACAAUUCCUAUUGUUUGUUGAAAAUUUAGAAAAGUCAAAGUUCAUAAAAUUUUGCGCCAACUUCUUUCUCUCCAAAUACUUUUAGUAAAAGUCACUAAUCAUCAAUUUAUCAUCAUUGUGUUAUAGUACUUAUUCUCACAAAUUAUAAUUAAGAGACCAAAUAUGCCAAAUGCAUCAACAAAGACAACAAAAACUAAGAUGAAUUUUGAAUUUUUCUUAAUGCUCUUACUUUUGGUCAUUUGUGAAAAUAUUUUUUUCCUUGAAAAACUGAACUUAUUGACAUAAUAAACAUAAGUUUUACUUAUAAAAAUAAUAACAAUAAAUCAAUUAUUAGGUUAGAUUAUUCAAAGAGAAAAUGGAGAGACACACGGAAGAGAAAAGGGGAAGAAUACACAUAAUAAAAGAUAAAAAAAAAAUCAAUUUACUUACAUCUUAAUUUCAUUGUAGAUGAUAAAUAGAGUGUGCGUAAAAAAAUACAUCUAUAUAAUUUUUUAAUAUAAAAAUUUCAAUUCAUUAUUGUUUAUGUAUCAUAGAGCAAAUGAAUUUUAAGACGACAAAGAAAUAGCUUGUCAACUUCUUUCUUAUUUAUUGUAAUUGGUUGGUUGUAGGUUUAAUUAAAAAUGAAAAAAAAUUGGAAGAUUGUAAAGGUGAGGGGUGAAAGAAAGAGGAAAAAUAAAUUACUUUAAUAAACUGUAAAUAUGGAAGAAAGUAAGGGGUGCAGUCAAAAAAGAAAAAUCAGGGGCACGGUGCACCUGUUGAAAUGUCAUAAAAUAUGCAGAUAUGCUCCCAUAUGAGAAUCUUAUCAUAAAUUAUAAGUAAAAAUACUGUACAUAAAAUCAAAGUUGCAGAAAAUUCUAGAUUUUCUAAAGCAGGACUGUGAUUUGUGAGGGAGUAGGGAAGGUGACUCGUAACCGUAAAAGCAAAGGAGGAUGAGUCAUAAAGGAAAGUGGUGGUGGCCUGGUGGGCUCUUAAACUACUUGGGUACCACGAAAAAACACAAACUUUGCUUUUAAGAUUCCACCCGAUCCUUUUAAUUUCUUUUUCGUUUUUGUUUUCUAAUUUAGUUGCAUUUUUAGUUUUUCUUUUAUUUUAUUUUGUUAUGUUGUUUUAGAAAUUUCUGCUGUUGGCGCCAUGUUUUGUUUACUGUUCUUUCCUUAUUUGUAAUUUUUCUAUCGCCCCAGCAGGUUUAUUUUAAUGUCCUUUGUUGAUGUUGCUCUAGUGCAUGCAUCGAGAGGUUAUGCUUGUUUUGGAGUCGUAGCUGGACUUUUAAUACUAGUAUGUCAAGUUUUCGGUGGCCUAAGGUGGUGGUUCCGUGUGUGGAUUUUCACGUAACGUUUUAUUUUUUAUUCGUUUUUUAUGAUUUUAUUUAUUUUUUUCAUUUUAGUUUUUUGUUAGUUCAUUAAACUCACGGAUCUUUGAUGUGAGUUUUUCUAUUAUGAUUUGGAGAUAAUGUUGUGUUUUAUUUACUAGCACUAUGUUGAGCUUCUUUUCCCAUUGAAAUGUGUUCUCCACUUACAAUAACUGAGGUGAAUACCCUGAGUCAGAUAUAAAAAAAUUCCUCUUAAACUUUCUUAGAACUUAGAAUAUUGAAUUUUUUUUUCGUUUGAUUAUAAAGAAUUGAUAGUAUCGAUAGUUUAUUUUUUACAAAUCUUAUUCCCACUGUCAUAAAAAUAGUGGUCAUGGUUCUUUUAUAAAAAAAUAAGUAUUGUAUUUAAAUUUGAUAUAACCAAUUGUAUUUAAACACAAUGUUAGGGCUAUUAGGACUAUUUGCACUUUAAAAAUUGCUCUGAACAAUCUAAUUUCAAUAAAAAUAUGUAUUACAAAAAUAUCCAUCAUAUGAAUUACUUUGAACACUUAUAUAACACACUCAUUAUUCAAUUUAUAAUUCUCAUACCAUAAUCCCAAAAAUUUUAGCCAAUGAGCUCAUAGCCCAUUAUCAACUCAUGCGCCUAAUAAACUUAGGUGCAUGAGUUCGAGUCCCAGCCAUUGAUGGAACUUGAUUCCCCUUUCUAAUAAGGGUUUAUCUGACUCCUCGCAUUACGAGUAGAAUAGAUCUUUUUCUAGUAUUAAAUAAGCAUCGUUCUUUAGGCUGUGCCAUAAUAGAAUUAUUAAAGAGAAUCUCGAUUGACCGUUCUUCAGUCUAUGUCAUAAUAGAAUUAUUAAGAAGAGUCUCGAUUAAUUUUUUGUUGUAAAAUAUCAGUAGAGCUCUGAUGAUAAAUAUAUCAGUAUAAUAAAAAAAUUCAAAAAUUUUUAUUUCCAACAUCUUAAUUAAUACUUAGAUGAAUAAUAAGUAAAUUAAUUUUUAAAAAAAAUUGACUUUAGAAUAUGUGUAAUACUUUUUAUUUUUAAAAAAUAAAACAAAACAAAAGUAUUGUAUAAGCUUCUUCUUUUUUGGGAGGGGGCUUUGGCCAUUCUUCUUCAUCUUUGUCUUCUUCUUCUCCUUCUCUUUUUUUUUUUUAUAGUAUUUAUGGAAUAUUUUUUUAUUGUGUUCUCAUUGUAAAUUAUUUUAGGUGUAAAAUUUAAUAUUGAACAUAAAUAAAAAAAUUAAUAACUAAAUUAUGCUAAUUUGUUUUUUACAACUUGAUGAAAUUAUAUUGUUGUAAGUAUAUGUCAAAUCUCUUAUAAAUUGUGUGCUAAAUAGUUUAUCACUUUUUGAAAUAAAUAAAGUUAACUAACUUAAACAGUUUAAGUUAGGAUAUUUUAAAAUUUUAAAAAGUUUUCAAAAUAAUAUUUAAAGUAUAUAUAGUCCAAUUCCAUUUAUUAUUAUACUCUCCGCCAACUUUAUUUUUUUCAAUAAAAUUUAUUAAAAAAAUUAAGAAUUUUAUUAAAUUACAAUGGCUGUAACUUACAAUUCUUUUAAAAUUUAUACCGAUCCCAUCACUUAUUAUCACCAUUCAAAGGAGCUGACAGUAGGAGCUGACGGUAACUUAGCAGCUCCCAAGAACUAAAGUUGUAAAAAGAAAACAGAGAGAGAUUUAUUAAUUUUUUUCUUUUUAAAAAAAUACUAACUCUACAUUUUACAAAGAUGACAGUGAUACCCAUUAUUUCCAUGGAUAUCAGUACACUCAUUAUUUCCACUUGUUCUGUAGCAAUCGAGUAGAAAUUAAGCCUUUCUGCCGCAUAUAUAAACCACAUCCAAGGAUCAUAUUGCUCGCUGACUCUUUUUAGUUUUCGCAGACCAAAUUGGACAGAAGAAGCUUUUACUCUCUCACUAUUACUCUAUGUUUCACCUUGGUGCUGACUCAGAAAUGAACAGUCUCGUGGGGUUCAGAUUCUACCCAACUGGUGAAGAAAUCAUUCGUCUCCUGAAGAAGAAGAGACUUAACCCUGGUUUCUUUGUCCAUACGAUCAAGGAAAUUGAUUUCUACAGCUUUGAACCCUGGGAGCUACCCUGUAAGUGAUCGUUCCAACCAAGUACGCUACACGAUGUCUGUUUAAGAUUAAUUAGUUUAGUAACUAAAAUUCAGAAAUUAAUGGAAUCUUUUGCUGCGAUGCAGGCCAUUCGGAGAUUCAGUCUGAGGAAGAGGUAUGGUACUUUUUCUGUGAGCCUGAUUACAAGUAUGCCAAGAGUAGACGGGUAAAUAGAGGAACAAAUGAAGGAACCUGGAAAAAGACUGGCAAUGGUUCUAAAAUCAAGCGAAAAUACAGUACCGAAGUGAUUGGUACCAAAAGGAUUUUGUCUUUCUCCCGCCAUGAUUCUGCUUCCAAGAAAGCUAAGACUGAGUGGGUUAUGCACGAAAUAACUGUUGAAGAUGACCCUGAUUAUAAGGUAUUAGCUACUGUUUUAGAAUUGCAUAGGUAUUGUAAAAUAAUCUGUUUAUUUUCAUGAAAAAUAAUUGUAAAAUACUCUGUUUAUUUUAUUGCAGAAGGACUUUGUUGUGUGUCGCCUUGAAAGAAAACGGGAGAAGAAGAUGCUUGGUGUUGUUUCCACUAAAAGAAAACGGGAUGAGAAGCUUGGUGUUUCCACAAAUGAUGGUGAUCAAUCUUGUCAAAAUUUGACUUCUAAAAGAAGUCAUAUUGCAGAAGAUACUACUAGAAAUCAUGUUGUAGAAAAAGAAGAUUUGGUUUCUAAUAGGACUCGGGUUGCAGAAAAUACUGUUUUGGCCUCUGAAGUUCAAGCAAGAGACCAUUCGAUUUCUGAUUCUAGAGAUCAUGUUGCAGAAAAUAUUGUCGACAAUUCUGUUGAGGCAGAAACUCGACAACUUGCAGAAUUCAAUCCACAGGGUGAUGGCUAUAAUGGGCUGAAUGAAGCCUCUGUCUUGGCACUGCAGUCACCAGUUUAUCCAGAGCAGGAAUCGUCAUAUUCUAAUGGUUCUAGUUGCGGUAAUGGUUUAUUGAAUUCUGAAUUUGACAGUGAGAAGGUAGAUGACCAGUUCAAUUCACAGAGGGAUUUUCAGAAUAAAGACUCUCCUAAUGAAUCUGGGCAGACCACUUCUGACUUCGUCUCAUCAAAGUCAGAUGAAGGAGUUUACUUGGAGGAUGGCAGUGACAUGGACUCUGAAACCUUCAUUGCAAAGGUGAAGAUAUUCUUUCAGUAUUAAUAGUACUUCAGUAGCAUACGUUAAGAAUAAUCAAAUCCUCCAGGAGCAUAUUAUAUUAUUAUUAAUGUAAUAUUGCUUCAUUCAUAGUGUAUUGUAUUACAAACUUUUUAAUCCUUGAGAGUGAUUGUUUGGGGCAUUUGGUUGCACAAGUUGCUCUCUAUCAUAUGUAAUAUCUACAUGUAAGAGUACGGUCAAGUUUUGGAGAAGUUCAGCUUGUUAAAUGGGAAUGCUUAUUGAAAACAUUAGAGGCUGAUCAGACUUGAUAGGGCUAAGGGAAGAUCAAAAGAACUCAAUUACCAGCAUCUUUGACUGUUGGAAAUCAGCAGACCUGGAGUCCCCAACACAGAGGCUAUUUUAAGGUAAGUGUAGAUGCAGCUGCUAAUGCAGAUAAGCAAAUCCCAGGGCUGGGAGCUGUUAUUCAAGAUGAAACUGAGAAUGUAAUUGCAGCUGCAAUUAAUCCUUCAAAGUUUUAUGGAGAUGUAUCUUUUGUGGAGGCAGAAGCGGUGGAGUGGGGUAUGCAAGCUUAGCAUUAUUGCUUGCUGAAUCAGGCUCCCAAGAGGUGGUUACCUGGCAUUAUUGCUUGUUGAAUCAGGCUCUCAGGAGGUGGUUAAUUUUGUAAACAAAAGGCAGGGCAUGCAGCAGAUCCAAAAUCUUCUGUUUUAUCUCAUAAAUUCAGUAACUUUGUGAAGGGCUUUGGUCAUGUUGGUGUCCAGUAUGCUCAUAGAUCUUGUAAUGUUAUUGCCCUCUCUUUAGUUACUAGAAAUGCGAAACUGUUGUAUGGAUGGGCUCAUACCCUUCGCAACUGAUGUAUUUAUUUUCUUCUAUGAAUUGAAUUUGGUUUUAUUCUCAGAGUAAAAACUGAAAAAAAAAAAUUCUGAUGUUAAAAAUUCUUGUGACGGUAACUGUCUUCAUUCAUGUAUAUAUGACACUAUAAGCAGUUAGCUCAUAAGCUGUGGAGGCUUUUGUUCAUCCCUUUUUUGUGGCAUCUGCAACAAUCUCCUAGCAUCCUUGUUAAUAAUACAAAAUUGUUAGUCAAGCAGUUCAUUGUGGCUUUGAAGCUUAAAUAAUUUUCACAUAUUAAGAAGCAAAAACAGGAGCUAAAAUGAGCCGCCUCCUUCUGAAUGAGUAAUGACUAAAGUUGCUCCUUCAGAAAGUUGGUUAUUAGUUUAAAGAAACAAGUGAUAAAGCGGAAACAAGAGAUAAAAAUGCGCAUAAUACUGCUGAUCUCAUUUCAUUGGAAUACAUAAGUACAUGAUUCUUUCUUGUACCCCAUGAGGUCUGAUGUGUCAUGUAUAAUUACAGCUAUUCUGUACUACUCACGAUCCUCGACCAGUUGUCUAAAUCUAAAGCCAGUAAGCUUAUGCUUUCACCCAUAAAGCUAUAUGUUUAUCUUUAGGAGCCCCCUAAGUUAACGUAACUUAGCACUCGUCUCAUAUUUAUUGUCCAAAUAAGAGAUGAAAAAAGAACACGGAUAAUACUUUGAAGAUAAAAUUGGUCAUUCGAGAUCUAUUAAAAUCGGUUUUGAAAACAUUUUUAGUCCAUCCUAGUAAAAAUCUUGUUAAUCGAAAAAGUCAGAGAGCUCGGAAAACUCUGAACUCCAUGAAAAUCCUAACUUGUUGAAAACGAUUCCACCACCACUGCUUGAGAAUCGGUCCACCAAAAAGGUUCGUUUUCGCAGCUAUGGCACCGACAAGGAUAACCCACCGCCGAUAUCCUUCAAGGAUGCACUUGUGGCCCCUAGCCAAGACAUAAAUUUUGCUGAUACUGAGAUGGAAGAAGAAUGAGAUUUUGAACCUGGAGAUGUGAUAGUCGGAGAUAAUGGUACCAUGCCAACUAUCAAAUUCUCUAAACGAAUUCAUGAUAAAUUGACUAAACCUUGGCAGAACUCUGUGGUGGUGAAGUUGUUGGGGAGAAGCAUUGGAUAUAAGGUUCUAUGUAAUCGGCGGAAGGUAAUGUGGCAUAUGAUACAAGAUUUUUCAGUGAUUGACCUUGAAAACAAUUAUUUUUUAGUUUGCCUCCACACACCAGAGGAUGCUGUCUAUGCACUAACUGAGGGGCCAGGGGUAAUCUUUGGGCACUAUUUAACAGAACAACCUUGGACUCCACAAUUUGACAACACCAUUACUGAUAUCGAUUCUGCAAUUGUCUAGAUUCGUUUACCUGGUAUGGCUUUUCAUCUAUACAACAAGUGUAUACUACGAAAGGUUGGACAACUGGUGGGUAUUGUUAUCAAGAUUGAUUAUCAUUUCGAAUUAUGGGAGAGGGGAAAGUUUGCUAAGAUUGUUGUUCGCAUUUCUUUGUCUCAACCUUUGGUGUCUCAGUUUAAUUUGGAUGGAAAGGUCCAGAAAGUUGAAUACGAAAGUUUGCCAAUUAUCUGUUACCAAUGUGGUAAAUAUAUGGCCACAAUAGCAUCGCUUGCCCUGACAAACAAAAUCCAAAUAGGGCUAACGAUGGUAACUCUAAGAGCAUUCCUCUAAUUAAUGUGGCGGUUGAUAAUGAUGGUGCUCCAACUGUGGCAAAUAACAGUAGGGAGAAAUUUGGCCCAUGGAUAGUUGUGCCACGGAAAGGGAGAACUAAAGUAGUAGUGGACAAGGAGAACAUUUUUUAUUCGGAGAGGAAUCAAUAGAAUAACUUUAGUACUGCCUCCCGUUUUGCUGCCUUAUCUGAUAAUCCCGACACAAAUGUCGCGGUGGAAGUUGUUGUUCAGAACCCUUCCUUUACCCUCCUCAAUGACCAACGACAUCCGUUACUGACCACUUUUAUGCCUAAAGGAACCCUACUUUGAAAACCUCUACCACCCUAAAACCCCAUAACCACCUUUCUAAAGGUAAACAAGAGGUUAAAGCACAGCUUUCACGACUUAGGCAACCAAACUCCAAAAUUUUCACUUCCAUGCAUGCAAACCUAUGCCCCCAUGUUACUAGAACUCUUUCCCACAAUACACACAUCCAUAUCCCGAACCCCUCAGGACAUACUCCUUGUUUGUCUGUUAAACCUACUUUCACCUUGAAAACCUUUGAUCCUCAUAACCAUACCGCAGUGACCUUUCCCAUAAAAAACCAUGCGAUGGUGGGCAACUAGCUGGGUUGCUCAAGUGGAAAAGAUUAUGCCAACCCUGAACAGCAACGCUACCCAAAGCAGCUAGCUGAUCCUCCCGAUGAUAAGGAUGAAAGGGAAGUUAAUACAAUGGCAGACUAUGCUAAUGACCCUAAACUUGUGUUCAGCCAUGUAGGUGAAGACACGAUGUCUGAUGAUGAAAACGAUGUCGUUAAUGAAACUCUUGGCAUGCAUGAAGGAGUGGUUUUAGGGCUUAGUAUGUAAGCAGCUCAUACUCACCCUCUUUGUAUAUAUAUUUUUAUGACGAUUUCAAUCCUUUUCUGGAAUGUCCAAGGGGCGGGGUCCCCAAACUUUUGACGUGUUUUUGAUACUUUAGUUAAAAGCUACAAUCCUACAAUUGUUGAGAUUUUAGAGCCCAUAAUCAGUGGUAAGAAAGCAGAUGACUUCAUUGAAAAAAAUGACUUUAACCGCUCGCAUCGAGUAGAAGCUACUGGGUUCUUUGAAGGCAUUUGGAUCUUAUGGAGGAAUUUUUUUGACGUUGAGAUUGUCUUAAAUCAUAAUCAAUUUAUUCAUUUGAAAAUCAGUGUCCAGAAUGUUAUCCAAUCCUGGGUCACAACAGUUUAUGCGAGCCCCAAUUCAAUUGGACGUCAUGAUCUUUGGCACCAUUUGAAUUGUAUUGCGAAUUCGAUGCAUGAUCCUUGGAUUGUGAGGGGUGAUUUCAAUUCAAUAUUGUAUGCUGAGGAAAAACGUGGAGGUUCUCAAUUGAGCACGGGUGUUUGUCUAAAUUUGAAAUAAUGGUAUCAUGCUAAACAAAUGGUUGACUUGCAGUUCAGUAGUCCCCGAUUCACUUGGUCACGUGGGAAUCUUUCGAAGCAUCUUGACCGUGCUAUGAGUAAUCAAGAGUGGAUUCUCAAAUUUGAUAGUUAUUCGGUUACUCAUUUGCCACGAAUUGAAAUUUACCACAUAUCGAUUUUGGUUCGCUUUGAGCGCAAUUUUAGAUGCAUAUGGAGCACCAAGCCUUUCCGCUUUCUAGUUGCUUGGAUGACUAACAAACGGUUUGGGGCUUUUAUGCAGGAUAGCUGACAAAAAAAUACUCUUUAUUCCCAAGCAGCCUCUAUCUUCACAAAUAAAGUGGCUACUUGGAAUAGAGAAGUUUUUGGCAAUAUCUUUAAACGAAAAAAAGAAUUAUUGGCUCGAAUUGGUGGGAUUCAGUAGGCUUUGGAGCGCCAGCCUUUUCGUAGUUUGUAUCGUCUUGAGGCAAAUUUAAAAAAGAAGUUAGAAGAAGUUCUAUCUCAAGAGGAGUUAUUAUGGUAUAAAAAAUCCCGCAGAGACUGGAUUAAUUACGGGGAUCAGAAUACCUUUUUUUUCAUCAGAAAACCAUUACAAUGAGGGCUCGUAAUCGCAUCACUGCUAUUAAGGAUGAUGGAGGUACUUGGCUUUAUAAUACAUAGGAUAUUAAAUCUCAUUGCGUGUCAUUCUUCUCUACUUUAUAUAAAUCUGAUCAAGACACCUACUGUCUGUAUCAUGUGCAAGGGUGUUUUUCUCAAAUUGAUCAGCUUUGCUUGGCAAAUCUUGCUACUCCGAUUGAUAAUGAGGAAAUUUGUCAGGCUGUUUUUCAGAUGAGCCCUCUCAAAGCCCCUGGAGUCGAUGGCUUUCAUGCUGGAUUUUAUCAAUCUCAGUGGCAUAUUGUUAGUGACUCUUUUUGUGUUGGCAUAAAGGAAGUAUUCACUUCGCAUUGUAUCCCUAGAGAAGUUAAUAAAACCCUCUUCAUCCUCAUCCCAAAGACUGGACACCCUACGUCUUUUAAGAUGUAUCGCCCUAUCAAUCUAUGCACAAUGUUAUAUAAAAUAGUGACUAAGAUUAUUGUGAAUAGACUUCAAGCUUUACUCCCCGAUCUCGUUGGUCCCAAUCAGACAAGCUUUGUCCCUGACCGAUAUAUCACUGAAAACAUCAUCAUUGUUCAUUUUAUGGGACGAAAGAUGGGUAAAAAAGGUUUCAUGGCUAUAAAGGUUGAUCUAGAGAAGGCGUAUGAUAGAUUGAGCUAGAAUUUUAUCCAUGAGACUUUAAUGGAGCUCUCUUUGCCAUUGGACCUUGUUCACUUAAUAAUGAAAUGCCUUACUUCUAACUGUAUGAACAUUUUAUGCAAUGGUGAAUUAAUUGACGAUUUUUCUCCUAGCAAAGGUGUAUGACAUGGUGAUCCUUUGUCCCCCUAUAUUUUUGUGCUUUGUAUCAAAAGACUAAGUCAUGGGAUUUAUUGCUCAAUUCAGCAAGAUCAAUGGAAGCCUAUUCGGUUAUCUUGGAUGGGUACUCCCCUAAGCCACUUAUUUUUUGCCCAUGAUCUUUUACUCCUUGCCGACACCUCUAGUGACCAAGCUUAUUUCAUCAAUUCGGUCUUGGAAGAAUUUUGUUUGUGCUCUGGCGCAAAGGUGAAUAAAUCUAAGACCUAGGUUUAUUUUUCCAAAAAUGUGUCUGUUGAUGUUGCUGGCAGAUUGGGGGGCAAGUUAGGGUAUACAGUUACAAAAGAUUUGGGCAAGUACUUAGGCAUGCCACUGUUACACCGCCGUGUUACUAAGCAAACUUACUAGGGGAUUCUAGAUAAAAUGGAUCAACGGCUUUCGGGAUGGGUUGCUUCUCAACUAUCUCUUGCAGGGCGGAUUGCUCUCACUCAAUCUGUCCUCCAAGCAAUUCCCAUUUAUGCUAUGCAAACUACGAAUUUACUGGUUAGUAUCAAAUCUAAACUUGAUCAAAGUUGUAGAUGUUUCUUGUGGAGUGGAAAUGAUGAUCUGCGUAAAAUGAGUUUAAUUAGUUGGCAUAAUAUAUGCCAACCGAAAUUGGCUGGUGGCCUAGGUUUCAAAAGACUGGACAUUAUGAAUGAAGUUUUGUUGUUGAAGAUUGCUUGGAAUUUAAUUACUGAACCUGAUAAGCUUUGUGUCCAAGUGUUAGCUACAAAAUACAAAGUUUCUUGCUCGAAUAUUCCAUAUUCUAUUCCCACUCGAUACGGCUCUCAUUUGUAGAAAUCUGUGGGUUGAGUUUGGAAUCAUGCUAAUCGGGGAUUACGUUGGAAUGUUGGUAAUAGUAGGAAAAUCAAAUUUUGGUGGACUGUUGGGCAACAACAUUUUACCCUCUUGUGGCUUUUGCUUUGCAGCCGAUCCCUCUUGAUCUCAGCAAUUUGUAUGUUGCUUAUUUUGUGUCCACAGAUGGUUCUUGGAAUUGGCCAAAAUUCAGUCACCUUCUACCCUAUAAUGUAGUGAUGCGAAUUACUUCAAUUUAUCCCCCUUCGGCUGGAAAUGGCGUAGACCAAGUCUACUGGGCAGCUUCAUUACAAGGACAGUUAAAUCAGUGUAUAAUCUUUUGGCUCAGUCGCAAUGGAAUGACAGGGAUAAUUUCUGGUGGUUGGCUUGGUCAUGGAAGGGCCCGUAAAGUGUAAAGAUUUUCAUUUGGUUGGUGUUUCACAAUCGCUUGAAGACUCGAGGAGAAUUAGCAUCACGCCAUUUAAACAUUGAUUCAUCUUGUGAAAGGUGUGGAUAUGGAUUGGAGAAUACAAUUCAUGUCCUCCGUGACUGUCCUUUUUCUAAAGCGGUUUGGUUUUGGUUGCUUCGGGGCCAUAAUCAUCAGCAUUUUUUCGAAGCUAACCUUGCGGGCUGGAUGUCAAAGAAUUUGCAGGAUUCGAACAAUUUUCUAGAUGGCAACCUUUGGCGUGUCACUUUUGGCAUUGCUAUUUGGCGGCUUUGGUUUCGGCACAAUCAAUUUAUUUUCACCAAGGCUUUCUGGGCGAGCAAUAAUAUUACAAUGGAUAUCAAAGUUAAGACAACUAAAAUUCAAAGAAGUAAUUUGUGUUCUCUUACUGCUGGCAUGGCCCGUGUCGAGAGAUAGAUUGGUUGGACUGCUCCUCUUUGGCCGUGGGUGAAGUUAAAUACAGAUGGUGCCAAGAAAUCUUCAAGCAAUGUAGGAGUUGGUGGACUAAUAUGUGAUUACAGAGGUAUUUGGCAGGCAGGUUACAAUGUUAACUUGGGUGUUUGCUCAGUGACUUCAGCAGGACUAUGGGGUUUAUUUCAUGGGCUAUCCAUCGCUUGGCAAUAUGGUUUUCGUAGGGUUCAAGUGGAAAUUGACAAUAAGUGUGUUAUGCAAUUAGUCUCUAGCUCGAACACUCCUGUCAAUGAACUCUUUACUCUCAUUCAAGCCAUCAAGAAUCUCCUUCGUCGUGAUUGGUUGAUUAAAGUGGAUCAUAUCUAUAGGGAAGCCAAUGUAGCAGCAGAUUUCCCUGCGUCCUACAGUUUUUCUUUUCCUUUGGGUUUACAUUGCUUUCAAUCUAUCCCUUCUAAUAUGAUUAGCAUAUUAAACAAUUAUGUCUAUGGGGUUGCGCACUCCCACUUAGUGUUGCCUUAACUCUUUUAAGAGCCCUCUUAUUAUUAAAAAAAAAUAAUCAGUUUUUUAAAUAUAUUUUUAAAAAUUACUGAUUUACUCCCAAAAAUAUUAUUUUUCUCACCACCAAAAUACAAGCACUGGCCCAAUAAAACUGUAUUUUAAAGAGAUUUUUAAAAGUCAAUCAAAACCCCUACUAACUAAAUAAUCUUAGCCCCUAAGGACGUAGUCGGAUCGGUAACAUUAAGAAUCUUAUAGUCCCGAACCACUCGGAUUCAAUCCUUAAGGAUGAUAAGGGGAAAAAAUAAAAAAGUAUUUGAGUUUUGCCGACUUCCCUUAAAAAAAAAAAAAAAAAGACUAAAUAAUCUUAACCUCUGCUCAAGUCGGUUUCAAGCACAAGCUGAGUCAUAUGCCACAUUUUGCCACAUCAGAUUAAAUGGCCCUUGAGUCGUAUGCUGACGUGAAUUAUUGACUCCUUGUAAAAGAAGUAGAAGCUUCCAGUAUUAUUAGAAAUUAGCAGACAACUUGUAAAGGAAGGGGAGACGCGUGUCUUUAUUUCCUUUCAUUCCUUCUAAAAGAAGGAGACACCCUGUAAGUGGAUCGCUGACCGUACGAUGUUAACACAUUUUGCUCGCGUGAAAACAAAACUAACGCGACACAUCAUCAACUGCCCCUUGACGUUUCAUCGACCAAUCACCAAGCUUCAAGCUAGUGUAUAUAUAAAUAAACGGUGAACCCAGUAAAUUUUUAUCAUGAGAGACAGCUGGCUAGGCCUCAAGCACUUUGAAUCAAAUCUAAAAGAUGGGCUAUCUCGUUUUCAGAUUAUUCAGAUUCCAUCCACCAGAUGAAGAAGAAAUCAUCAAGCUUCUUCUGAACAAGAAGAAACUUGACCCUGAUUUCUAUGUCCAAACAGAUAAGAAGCACAGAGCUGAAUGCGUCGUGUACGGGUUUCAUUUCAGGUAAAGUUGACAAGGUGACUGUCUUGCUUAUUUAUUUUCUGGAUUUUGGCUCUCACAACAGGAAAUUUCAAUGAAAAAUCUCUCUUUGCCGGAAUAAAAAUUGAUGGUUAACAUUCUAAAUUUUUGAGCUCAUACUCUUUACAACUUUAAUUUGUGUGAAGGGAAUUUUAUAUUUGCCUCUUAGAAAGAAAAUUAAAAAAUAAAAAAUUAACGAGGCUAAAACUUCAACAUGUGAUGAUGGUCAAUCGAGUCACCAAUCAUUUCUAAUUUUAGAAAUCAUGUUGAAAAAGGAUAUUCAUGGGUGACAUAGGGCAUGCCUUAGGGAUAAUUUCAACAUGUUAUCCAUUUUUGUCGUAUGAGACUGCUACGUGAAAUUAUUACUUCUUUGCCAUUUUAGUUGUUAUUUUAGGUAGAAGGUCGACCACUGCCAAAUAUUGAUUCUAGAAAUCUUAUUUAUCUUUUACAUCAGGUAGAAUGUGAACAAUUAACAGCUCAUAGUAUGACUUAUAAGUGUAGAAAUCGUGUUGUAGAAAAUAGAUGUUUCAGUUCAUAGGUGAGAAAGAAUAUGUGUUGUUGACAGCUUUUUAUACCAACUAAUGAAUGUAGUGCAUAAGAAAUAUAUUUGGAACUAAUGCUAUUUACGGUUCUUAUUUCAGGA